rnacentral:lncRNA from 1 species
UUAUGUAACAGCCCGGCCCUUUUCCACCGGCACUGUUACCACUCACAGCCCGGACUGGCUCCAGCGCUGUGAGCAGCUCUUAACAUCCUCUCACCCUCACGGGCUCUUGAGGCAGGAUUUGUCCCUCGGGGGAGCCACUACGGCCCACCCUAGCCCAAGGGUUUUGGCUUAUGGCACUUUUCCACCAUAAGUCGCCUCCCCCACUACUCGAACCCUUGACCUCCCACUUUAAGGGAAUAGUCUGGUGAGAGUGAGUACCAAUUGUACAAUUGGUACUCACUCUCACCAGACUAUUCCCUUAAAGUGGGAGGUCAAGGGUUCGAGUAGUGGGGGAGGCGACUUAUGGUGGAAAAGUGCCAUAAGCCAAAACCCUUGGGCUAGGGUGGGCCGUAGUGGCUCCCCCGAGGGACAAAUCCUGCCUCAAGAGCCCGUGAGGGUGAGAGGAUGUUAAGAGCUGCUCACAGCGCUGGAGCCAGUCCGGGCUGUGAGUGGUAACAGUGCCGGUGGAAAAGGGCCGGGCUGUUACAAUUUAACUUGAAUAUCAUAGGAUCUCCAUUGAAUAUUUGUGAUAAAUUCCUAAUCAUUUUAUCUUAUUUUACAGAUCUCUCCCUCAAAAUUAAAUAUGAAAAACUCAUAUAAAAUCUCAAAACCAUUCACUUCUCAUCAAAUUAAUCAGAGUUUAUUAACCCGCUUAUCUAAUCAAAUUAUAGUCAAUAUUCAUAUCUAGUCGCCCAUUAAAUCUCCGUUAAUAAGUAACAUGUAAUAAUAAUUGACAAUAACUUUAAUAAUACCCUAUUAAAGUUAAAAAAAAGGUUUUCCAAAAAUUAAAUAAGUGAUUAAUUAAAAAUAUAUCAAAAUUAAAAAAAAUUGUGGAUAAAAAAAAUUAAUCCUUAUAUAAAUUCUUUAAGAAAAAAUUACUUUUUAGUCCCUAAGGUUUAACAUAAUUAACACUUUUGUUCCUCUAUUUUGGCUACCCAACACUUAAGUCCCUCACUUUCUCUUCUGUCCAAAUUCGCAGUCCUUCCGUCCAAAUUCACAGUUCUUCCGUCCAAAAUAGCCGUUUGAGACACGUGAAUUGACAAAAUUAAUCCUCACUAAAAAUCCCGCUAUUUCAAAAUCACAAAACUCAAAUCCACCUUUUCUGCAAUCGGAGAAAACAUGAACGAGAAAAAAAAUAAAAAUUUCACAUUGAGAGAAGGGUAUUUUUGGAAAAAAUUAUCACCUCUCACCUUUGACUCUUUGACCAAACGGUUUAAAUGGACGGAAGGAUUACGAAUUUGAACAGAAAAGAAAGUGAGGGAUUUAAAUAUUGGGUCACCAAAAUAGAGGGACAGAAAUAUUAAUUACGUUAAAUCUCAGGGACUAAAAAGUAAUUUUCUCAUUCUUUAAUUAUUAAUGAUUGACGGUAUAUAUAUAUAUAUAUAUACCUCCAAAAAAAUUAUAAAAAAAAAAAGCAUAAAAUAAUUUAUAAUGAAUAGACAGUGGAACAUGUGGGAUUGAGGUCAUUCUUGGAUUACAUAUCAAUUUUCAUACGUCUGUUUUCCAUUUUUCUUAUUUUGUACCCUUUGUUUUUUCUUUUACUUCAAACAAACAACAAUCAACUCCCAUAUUUACUUAUAUACAUUUUCAAAUGAGAAAUAAUUUAAUUUUAUUCUUAUGUUCUUUUCUGCAUUUGUUUGCAUAAAAAACAAUGUGAAGGACAAUUCGUAGUGCUGACAACAAUGAUAACAAGGAGAAUAUAUGUAAGAAGUAUUCUAGGAUCCAAAUUGCACAGGUGAGCUUUUCUGUCCUGUAAAUCUUGUAUGAGCCAAAAUUAGGUGAAGAAAAGCUAGAGGGAUUCAGACAUGUCGGACCGGAGGGCGGACAAUAAGAAGGAAACUUGCGACUUCCUUCUUAAGAAACAGAGAGCUCAUUCUUGGACAUCAGAUAUGACAAGAAAAUUUCAUUCCACAUAUCAGGUACUCCGGGGAGACACCAGUGGCCGCAAUCAGGCACAGAUGGAUUGUCACUCCAGGUUCCUACAUGUGCAUCACUCCGGAAUGCCCCCAUCGGUGUCACAUGUAGAACUGUUACAGGAACUGACAUUUUCUUCACAGCUUUCAUUAUUAUGUCUGAAACUGGGCUCCUGUCUCUCCCUCCAGUUUUUGUUGAAGGCCGCCGUGUCACUUUGCAAGAAAGACGGUUCCGGCCACUGAUACAAGUGUGUAACUGUUACCAUCACUCUAUGGUUGCAUUCUAUGCAACUUGCAUAGACUUACCAAGUCUGCUACCAAGUAAACUAAAGACGAACAAAACCAAAAAGAAAGCAACAGAAUUGCAGAAGGCAUACCUCCAAUGGGAAGAUUCAAAGGUCCGGAAGAAUACACUAGUUUUAUUUGUAUUGAUGGUAGUCUCAGCCCAGGAUGCCCAUGUGUUUAAUGCUGUUUUGAAGGCAGUAGUUAUAGGCAUUCCAAGCUUCAGGGAUCCAUUGAUCUGAAAGUAACAGCCCCUGUCUGAAAAACCAUGUUAGGAGCACUUUAUAUCACCAAAUGUCUACUGAAAUUUGCACAUUAAGCUAAAUUAUUCUCUAGGUUUAAAUAUGUAGGAAGCUUAUUGAACCGGCUAUAAUAAUGCUGAUGAAGCAUGCCUAUCAACUUCAUGUGCAUUAGCAGGGACUGUUGUACAUUGGGGGCACUUGGCCUCCACUGCCGCACUAAAUUAGGAGCAUUAAUUCAGAUAACUUGCCCCAAAUUAUGAUGUUAUUUGUCUUGAUAAGGUGAAUUAAUUUGGACAUUCUAUGUUGAUAUCCACAAGGAUAAGAAGGAUAAUUUUACUAGCUGUAAUAAACUCCAAUUAUAGUUCUUCCUUAUCCCAAUCACUGUUUCAGCUAGCAAAGGCACCGAGACCGAUUGGACAUCAUUACAGCAGACAGAAAACAACAGCAUAAAAUUGUGAACUUUAUACAACUAAAUAUGUCAUAGUGAACAAUAUUCAGUAAAGUUUGGGCAGUAACUUAAUUACUUUCCAGCAGAAUGGUAGCAGAAGAGAGCCACGCAUAUACAACCUUCGUCAAUCAACAUGCAUGGUUAUUGCCAAAAUUGGAGAAUGAGAGGGUGAAUAAUAUGAUGGAUAUUCAUGCACUUAGUUUAGUUUCGAAUAACCAAACAAAAUGAGAGAGGGACAUUCCUUUUUCCAAACAUCUUCAAAUGGUUUGCCAUCUGAUACUUGUUUAAAUUGAGAAUUGCCGCAAUCUCAUUCAAAUAUACAAGGUUUUGAACUGAUCUGCCAAUUGAAGGCUGAAGCUAAUGUACAAUAUAUUCAGGCAGAAAGCAUAGUGAUUUAGCUAGCUGAAGACCUCUGGAAACUAACAAUAAGUUUUAUAAUAGACAGGUAAACGACAUAAACAUAAACAUGUAGGACUUAGACAUAACACCAAGAAAUGGAUUUUGUAUCCUUGCAUGGCUUUAUCUAAGACCACCCAAGUCAAAAGAGAUUUUCCUCCAGCAGAUGACCAAGGAAAAAAAAAAGCAAAAUUUUCUAUGCAUUUAAGAAAACACCAAUGCUUAACAAGCAAACUCCUAGUCCUUUAACCUGUCACCGCUCGUGGAUAAACAGAAAUGUUGACAGUGCCACAGCCAGCCGGAGAAAUUUAGGAAUGCGCUGGGAUUGGAAAAUCUGUAAACUAGACCUUUGUAAUAAAAACCAAAUAUUUAUGAUUCCAAAAAUGUCAUCUUUUUAAUUGGAAAAAUUGCAAAAAUGGUAAUGUGAGAAUUACUGAAAUCUUUGUGCAGGCAAGAUCCAUUAUAAGAAACAUAAGAGAAAGUAGACAGACUUACAUUUCGAAAAGUUUACUUGGGUUCCACCAGUGUCCAGAAUUAAAUAUUAGCACGUCAGAAUCAACCCACUCAUUGCUAAUAUCAUCCAACUUGUCAAGUUUAAGUGUUGAUUUAACCCUCUUAGGCGCACGCCUUGGUGUCGAACCAGGUUGCACCAGGAAAACUGAUCGGUAAAAGUCAAUUCUUAAAUUAUAUGAACUAAACCUUACACCUAAAAAUCUAAUUUGCUUAGUGAUCUUAUUCCCAUUGACUUCAUAAACACUCCUCUUAUCCUCCACACCAGUCAUGAGCAUACAUAUCAAAGACUCCCAUUGUGUUCUACUCAAUGAAUCACCAACAAAAACAAUCCGUUUGCCACGCAGCUUUUCAAGAAUUUGAUGCACAUUAAAUCUUGGGAUGUCACAAUUCUUUGGCUUCCAUCUCCAUUUUGUAUAACCUCUAUCUCUCCUCCCAUUAGCCAAGCAAUUAAAUCCACCCUCAGCAAAAGGACAUUGUGAGGCAUUAUAUAGAGGGUAACUUUCAUCCUUGAUCCAACUUCCUCUAAAAAAAUUGCACGCACUAAUUGAACCAUUGGACUCAGGAAUCUCAUAACUAAGAAUAUCUGGCUGAAAUCUGGGGAAUAGAAACAAAUAUGCACAUGAUAUGGCUAAAAGAAAUGAUAAAAAUGACGCAACAGCAAUAAUCCCAUUGAAAGGUGGAAAGAUCCAGAAUCUACAGUGACGCUUUAUUAUUCCAUUGCCGAAACUGAAAAACCUCGUGGAAAAAGGAAAUGCACCUGGGUUGAAACCAUCUACCAUCUGAAUCAUCUUUCUUUAGUAACCCAUAAACAGCUUCAAUGUUACUGUGACCAUAGAUGAAUCAAAGAAGUGAAAACUAACCCACAAAGCAAAUGGAAUCAAAGAUGACUUCCAGAAGUGAAACCAACACUGAUACCUAUUUAAGCACCACCAGAUCAGUAACAAUUCCUUGAAUCAAAGGUCAAGUUCAAAAACAAAAGCUAAGAGAGCAUCUUUCAAAACCAUAAGCUGAAGUAAUUGAAGGAAAAAUACCCUCUUUGCACUUUUCCAUUGAAAGAAGACAGAACUUACUGUUUCUACAACUGGGUUUUGAGAGAAACCAGAGCUUGUGGGUGGAAUUGCUAGCAGCAGCAGCGGCAGCAGCUCAAAGAAGGUGAUGGUAAAGGGACAAGGUCAGUUUGGUCAUUUCGAGAGCAACAGCAGAUAUAGAUCAAAGGUCAGGAUUGGUUCCUGAUUGAUCUCUAUGGACUUCACCAAAAGGCUGAAGCUUCUAAGAGACAAUGAGGCUGUCGGUGAAUUAUUUUCUAGAUGGUUUUGAGAAUCAGAAUAAAUAAAAAACCUUUACUCCUCCAAUGAAAACAUAUCAUGCUUUCAAGUUCAUCUAAAAAUGGUUACACUUGAUUGCUCUCCAUUUUAAUCUAACAGCCAGUUGGUUAAGACACUGAUUUCUUAACCAACACCAAAGACUAAAUUGCUAAAGCCAACGCCCAAGGCGUAAGGUAGCCUUGCUCUCAACAUCUUUAUAAAAUAUUUAAUAAAUCUUUUUAAAGUAAUCAUUAAUAUAUUUGAUAUAUAUUAAAAAUUAUUAAUUUUAAAAUAAUUUAAUACGAAAGCAAUAUGUGUAGAAAGUAUAUUAAAAAAGAUAAAAUAAAAUUUAUUUUACCCUAUAUUAAUAGUAAAUUAUACUUAUUAUUUCUAUAAUUAAAACAACUAUAAAUACAUUUUAUUGAUAUCUUAUUAAUAAUAUAAAAUAUAUUUUUAACUAAUUCAUUUAUAACCCAUAACAAUUUUUUUUAAAAAAAUAAAAUUAUUAAUUAUAUUAAUAAAAUUUUAUUUAACAAAAAGAAUAUCAUCCCAAAUCAAAAGAUAAUUAUGUCUAAUAGAUUUUCUAGCUAAAUUAUGUGCAGUUAAAAUAACAUUACGACGGAUCUAUCUAACAGAAAUAUCAGUUCUAGAGUCUAACAAAAAUUUACAAUUAUUCAAAAUCAAACCUCUAUAUAAGAUAAUUUGACAAAAAUACUCCUUAAGUGUCUAUCUAAACCCAUGCAUAAGAUAAUUUGAUAAAGAUACUCAUUCUUCUUUCUCAUAUCUCGAGCAUAAAUCAUUAAAAUUUUUCGAACAAAACAAUGGAAGAUAGUUUUUAUGAGAUAAAACUUGAAUAAGAUUCUAAAACUGACGUUAUUGUUGCGAUUCCGGAAAUUCAUAAUAACUAGUUAACCUCCAUUGAACAUUACCUCCCAAAACACCGAAUCAAUAAAAUUUAAAAAAAAAUCAACCACAGAAACAGAUCCAUGAAUCUUCCACAUUAACGAAAGGUCUCUUUCUAAUCCUUAUCCAUUAACUGAGAAGCAACCAUCAAAAUAUAAAAAAUUAUAAAAAUAUUUUAUAUAAGAACUAAGAGUUUUUGUUACCAUAAAAAUAAAAUGUUCAGCGUGUAACUAAGAAUCAAAUCAUUCAAUACAAUAACUGUCCGAGAAUUACCGCCAUAAAUCUGGUAAAGUGGUCUGUAUAUUCUGAAAAUUGAUUUGAUUGUAUGUGAGAAAUAUCCCCACCAUACAUAAAUAUUAUAAGUGACGAUCGGAAUAUCUCUGAAACUCUUAAUAGGGACAACAAUAUUUUCUUUUUCGUCGAUAAUUAAUUGACGCAGAUCGUCUUUCAUGAAAAAGAAAAAAAAAUAAAUUUAAACAAAAGAAAAAUGCGAGAAUAUCGAGAGACAAAAGAAUCACAAAAGAAAACCUAUACACACUUACAUAAUUGAAUAACCGGUAACAAAUUAAAUACCUUAUUUGGGUUUGUCUGAAUUUCUGUUAAAUUGGUUUAAUAUUAACAAUCAUUUAAAAAUUUGCAUAAAAAAGUGCUUAAGUUUUCAACUUGUGACUUAAAACAAAAGAAAAUUAGCAGAAAAUGAUGGCAAUCUUUUUCAUCCUCUGGAUACUUAAAAAACGUUCUCUUUUGAGAGUUUUUUUAUUUUCUAAUCAUGUCUAAAAAAAUAAAAUCAUAAAUUAUUUUCAAUGUAUUUUAUUAUAUGUAUAUUUGAAAAAUAUAACAGUUUAAUAAGUAUUUUUGACACUUUAAAUAUUGAAUAAUUAGUAUCCAACAAUUACACGACUCCCUUAUAUGACAAGUUUGCUAUUUAAGGGUCAAUACAUUUGUUAACGAUUCUAUUCAACGGCUUGUUCCAUACUUAUAAUUUCAAAUAAGUCUCAACAGUCCACAAAUUACUAUAAAUAAAAGUUAGUCAAGUUGGUAUGAAUUUGUUGAAUUUUUAGUAAAAUAUUAUUGAAUUUUUAGUUAAAAUUUUAAAUUAUUAUUGAAUUUGUUAAAUCUUAACUAUGUCGUUCUUAAAUCUUAAAUAUCAAAUUUGCAAAGCUUUAAAGAUUUCAUGUGAAGCAGUCUUCUGUUAUUUAAGGCAAGGGAGUAGCUAGCUUCCCUUUUAUGAUUCCAAACUCUAAACAUCCAAUUCUAAUGACCAAUCAAAACACAUAUCAACUAUAAUUGGAAAUCCCUUUCCUUUGAAGCCUAUUACUUAUUCUUAUCAGAAUUUUGAUUUGAGAAAUACCAUAAACUCCUAUUCUUAAUUAAUCCUCCGUUGGAAUUCGUGUCGAAUUUGGCAAUCUCCUGCCACGUACAAAUGAACUGAACAGAUGCAAAGCUCUUGAUGGCUGUGAAUAUGGCACCAUAUGAGCAGCACCUCUUACUGUGGCAAAUGUCAAUAAAUUUCCAUAUUCUGUUACCCAACCUCCCACCUGUAAACAUAUAAAGAAAAUGGCAGGUCAGGUCAUUCUUUAACACAGACAAAUGCUUAAGGAAAUAAUGAUGAAACUAUACUAAUGAUUAAGUACCUGGCUUCUGUGAAACCAAGCUCCAUAAGGAACUGUAAUCUUCAAGUUUAGAUCAUGAGCUAGCUCGCGAACAAGUGUUCUAGAGCCCAGAAGUGGCACAACAGAAUCUUCAUCACCACUGCAUUGGUUAAUUCAAUAUUUGAUAUCAUACACAAUAAUCAUGUUGCAGAACAAACUACAGAAGAACUCGGAAUGUAUACAUGCAUACGAGUGGACGUAUAUCGUCCCAUGGAACUUACCUGAACACCCAAACUGGAAUGUGAUUUUUAAUAAUCUUUUUGAGAAUGGGAAGCAUGUCCAUAUUAGCAUCCGUAUCGCUGUACUCUAAACCACUGCACAAAAACCAGGAGAGAAAUAUUAGUAAUUAUGCAGCAAACCAAUAUGCAAACAUUCAUUUUACUUGUAAUGACCAGAGCUCCUACUGAUAAACUUUAUUCAGACAAGUUCAAAAGAUGAUGUUUUUAUUUUUGGUGUUAGGAAAUCUUUUUCUCAUAUGAGUUUUACUUCAAAGCACAAUUUAAGUCUCUCUUACCCAGUGCACAUGGACCAUGCAUACGGUAAAUUUGUUCGAUUGGCAUGAAGAGCCUUCUGAACCUCAGGAAGGUUGAAGUAGUAACUUCUUUCAUAGCUCAUACAGACAUCAACUCCAACACUUAUCUUGGUAGCCUACAUGGUUAUAAAAAGUAGUAAUGAUCGAAAAGUUACAAGUGUGAAUCUCCGGUAAGGAUUGAACGAAGCAAGCGAGUAAAAGGGAAAACGAGAGCAUACCAGUUUCCUCAGUCGCAGUUCUUGCUCCACUAUUGAUGGAUAACAAAUAUCUAGGAUCACAUCAUAGUUGUCUAUGAAACUACCAACAAUUAUAUUUGCUUGUGUUAAAGCUUCAUUACAUGAAUCUGUUACAUUGUGCGGGUUUGCAAAUGUGUAGUCAUCAAAUUGACAUUCAUUCAUGAUCUUGAGGCCAAUCUCAUCAGAAAUCAUCCCAUGAGACCAAAAGAAUUCAUACGUUGCUGGAAUAUCCCGAUUAAGUCUAAGGAGUGGAUUCCCAAUCUAACCAUAUGAAGUAAAAACCAAAGGAAAAAUUUUAGCUAUAUGUAUAUGCAUCAAGCAAGAAAUAAUUCAGAUAUGUACAAGGAAGAGUCAGGUUUCCUUACAGCAACUCCUUUGAUAUUGAACUUGAAACCAGUUGAACGUGCAUUAUGAUCCAGAAGAACCUCAGCCAACUGUGGGAUGUAAUGCCCUAUAUAACAAUACAGACAAGAAAUUUACUAAAACUGAUGAACAUAGCAGUUACAGAACAUGAAUUUGAGAAAUUUCGCUGCAAAGCUAUUUGUCACACCUGCAUAACUUUCUCCUGUAAGAAACAGUUCCCGUGAUUUGAAUUCUGGGAACUUCUCGUACCACUUCAAUAAGAAAAUAUACAUAUCGUUGGCUGCAAAGAAUAAGAAAUCUUAGGAAUCUUAGAUCAAUUAAAAAUUAACUGUGACUCAAAUGCAUUAUAUCUUGUUAUGCUAAUUCUUAUACCAGUUUUGGCAUCUCCUGUAGUGUAAUCAGAAGCUGUUUCUGAGUAUGACCACCCUACUCCAGCAGGUGACUCGACGAAUAGGAUGUUUGAUGCUGCAAAAGAUUAAUAAAUAAAUAGAGUAAAUGCAAAUUGAAGUUCAUUAAAAAUCCAGUACUUAAAUUGGAUUGCAUAUGCCACCUCUGUUCCAAGACAUUGAAUUUCUUCGAAGGGCUCGGCCAUCCCCUGUAGGAAAAAAUGGACCCAACUCGGUGAAGGCACCUCCACCAACGGAGGAACAACCAGGACCUGAAACAUGGAAUGUCACUGUUAAUAAUAUUUAGAAUAAAAGAAGAAAAUAUCCUUCUACUCUAAAAGAAAUAUGGAUAUUCAUAAGGAAAGCCUUUGUCAGAAACAGUUCAAUUUUGCAGAUAGGAUUCACAUCCUUGCAACUUUCAGGACCAACAAGAACAGUGAGUGGUGAAGGGGGAAAAAAACACCUAGAGCUGAAAAGCAAGUAAAAAGAAACAAAAUAGAAGAACACCAUUUCCUAGGUAAGACAACCAUCAAAUACAAGAAUCAAAAUCACCCAUCAAACAUGAACAACCGACGUCUGAGAGAGAGAGAGAGUGAGAAAGAGCUGACCUCCAUUGAGCCAGAGAGCAAGGGGCUUCUUUUCAGGGUUCUUCUCAGCCUCAACAAAGUAGUAAAACAGGCUCCUCCCAUUCUUCACAUCGACAUCAAUAUACCCAGCAAACUGCUUGAACCCAACCUUGGGUUGGCCAGGCAACUCCACCACCAGAUCUUCAGCCGGAUACCCUUCCGCCCCGUAACUCACCAACGCAGCAAAACACAGCACAGCAAUCGAUACCACACCGAAGCAGCACCUACCCAUGAUACCCACAGUCACACAAGACCCACACCCUUCAUCCAUUCCAUGAAAAUCCACCACUCUCUCUCUAUAUAUAUAUACACAUAUCAAAGCUAAAAGAGAAAAGAAAAAACCUUGAAAAUGAUAAUACUCUGUGUAUGCAAGCAGAGAAUGAGUACUUUAUGAGUAUGAAACAAAUUCUGUAUGAAGAGGCACGUGAAUUCUGAAUCUUUCUUUAACCAAAAGGCUGCGCAUGUAUUCAUAUCUCAAGAUAUAGAAUUGUGCAUGGAAUUUGCCAUAUCUAUACACAGCAGGCAGUGGAAGACGUUAAGAAGUUGCAGAGUGGCAGGGCACCACUGGGUUAGGGAUAUUGCAGAGAAGAAGGCGUUGGGAUUGUCAACCUGCUGAGGUUCUAGCAUUCGUCGGAAGAGAUCCCUUGGACCUACAUCGUUAAAUUAUUUACACUUUGAAUCCAUACUGUUCCAGGCAAGAAUUAGCCAAGACCAUGGAGGUUUCGCUCAAUUCACCUGUUUAACCUUUUUAUCAAUAUGAAAUUUUUCUAACUUUAUAAAAAUUUUAAAGUAAACUCAACCUAUUAUAAGAGAUCUUUUGAGUUGGUGAAGUUAAAUUAUUAUUUUUUUAAAUAAGUAUUUAAAUUAUAUUUUAAUAUUUAAUAAAAAUUAAUAUGAAAAAUAAAAUUAACAAAAAUAAUAACAUGGAAAGAGUAUGAUUUAAAAAAUAACUUUAAAAUGUUUUCAACAGUUUUUCUUUAUAAUAAUAAAAAUUUCAUUUUUAGUUGUUUUUCAAAUGCAAAAUAAUAAUUUUUUAUAAUAAAAAAUAUAUUAUAAUAUUUUUAUGAUUAAAAUUAAAUAGUUAUUUUAAAUAAUAUUUGAAAUUAGUUAUAUUAGUAGUAAAUCGAAAAAAAUUAAAAAUAAAACUAAUUAAGUUUGAAAUAAAUUUUUAAAUAAUUUAUCUUUUAAUUAUGAAAAUUAUGAGUAUUUUUCAUCAUUUUAAAUUUAAAAAUGAAUUUUUAUUAUUAACUGGUUAACAUGUUUUCUAUAUUUUUAUUUAUUUUUCAUAAAAAUAAAAAUUAUAAUUUUUUAAAAGAAUAAAAAAUAAAAAACAGAAAACUGUUUUUUCAUAAAUAAACAAUUGAAUAGUGUUUACGGCUAAUGGCCAGUUUGUUAAGUACAUAAUUCUACAAUUAUAAAGUUAGACAUUUUGUUUAAGUAAUAAAAACUAUAAAAAUUUAAAACAUAUUUUUCAUAUAUAAUAUUUAUUUAAUAAAUAAAUUUAUAUUAUAAAAUUAAAAUUAAAAAAAAAAAAUUCUCUGUCCUACCCAGAAUUCUGAUAGAAAAGUUCCCGUUACAGGCUACAGCACGAUUUUUCACGAAACGAUGAUGGAGGACGUGACGCAUUUUCUUUUUUUUUUUUUAUAAUAUUUUUAUGUUAUUGAAGUAUUUCAAAGUUAAUACAUUCUUUUAUUUUUAAAAUUCAAUAAUUAGUUUCUAUAAUUUUAAUUUAUCAAAUUAAAUUGACCCCAAAAUAAUUUUUUUAAUUUAAUAAAGUUUAAAUAGAGAGACAACUAUUGAUUUGGAUAAAUCUAGAUUUAUAAAUAUUAAUUUUAACUUAAUAUAAUAAUUAAAUAAUACUAUAAAUGUAAAAGUAUUUUAGUUAUUUUAAAAAUAUUUAAUAAAAAAAUAAAUUGAAGAAUCUUUAUUGUCUGACUUGAAUUUUUAUGGUUUACUCAUAUGUACUCAACCAACUCUCUUGUGAAUUUUCUCAUUAAAUUUGACCAAUUUAGCUAGCGAAUAAAAUUAAAAUCUAAGAGUUUUAUGAAUACAAAUUUAAGAAUUUGAGUGAUUUCAAAUUAUUCUCUUUUGUUAGUGUAUUUUUAUUGACUUAGGUUAACGAUAAAUUAUGUAAAUUUGUGUGUUAUUUAUUUAUGUUCUUUUAUUUUUUUUAUUUUUUUAUCAUAUUUUUAUACAAAUAAAUAUUUUUAUUUUUGCAUUUUGCCUAACUAACAGCCUCUAAUUUGUCUAAAUCAAAAUAUAAAGAUUAAACUAUUACUUUUUAAAAAUAGGGUAUAUAUAUAUAAUUUUGGUACACUUAAAGAUGUCAAGUAAUUUGCAUUUUUUUAACCGAGAGGCAACACAAUAGAAUCAGAAGAAGAAAACUGUCGGGAAUAGUGCCUUUAGCCAACUUUGUAGGAUAAAUUGCACUAUCAACUUGCAUGGUAAAAGCCAAAAAAUUUGUACAGUAACCCGACGUUUGGGCAGCUUUUGGCUGAAAUGGUUAAUUUGAAAUCAGCGGAAUUGGUUUAGAGUGGAUUAGAAAUAUUCCAUUAGAUCUCGAGAUCUCAAUUUCGAUCUCCUGCUGCCCUUAAAUGGGUUAUAAUGCUACUUGGUAUAAUAAUAAUAAUAAUAAUAAUAAAAGAAAUCAAGACAAUUGGCCAAAUAAAAUUUCAUAGAGUCCUAUACUGACCCAAAAUACCAUAAACAUCAGCCACAACCAAACCAAAAAUACACCAUCACUACCUACAACAGCUAUUUCACCAAAUGGGAACGCAACACAAAUGACAUAAGGAGUCUGAGCGGUCAGGAGUGUUUCUUUGAAUUGACUAGCCAUAGCAAGUGGGAUAAAAUCAGCCCAAACCAAAAUGAUGCAUGACUUGAAAACAUCAUCAAACAAUGAAUAUCUGGUUAAUUAGAUAGCAUCCAAGACCAGCUAAACUUACCGCACGUUUCAUUUUUUGGUUUGACAGCUCCCACCAAAGUAAUCUAUUAAAAGUUUUUGUUUGUGAAACUAUUGUUUAUAAAAACUCUCUUAAAACUAUUAGCUAAAGAGUAUUGAAAUUAUUUAAAAUUACAAAUGUGAUAGGUUUUAGGAAUAAAAACAUUAAAAUAAUAAAACAACUUUUUUUCAAGCUGUUUAUUUAACAUCUACAAUAAUGUUUGUUUUUUUACUGAAAAGCAUUCUUGAUCUCCCAAACCCAAUACCAAGUAGUCCCAAUAUGUUCACUCAAACACUAUCUCUGAGAUCAUAUUUUGUCAAUCUCAAAAGCCACAACAAAUAAUUAAGCAGAUUCCGAAAGCAGGGAUUUGCAAUUUGAUCAAACUAUUAAGGCCAAUUUUCAAUUAAAAUAAUCCACGUAAAGAAAUUUUAGAGAAUGAUUUUCUUCAACAUUAAUCUAGGCAACAAAUGAAAUGAUUUUGAAAAUGAUUUUUUCUUUUGGUGGGGCGGUGGGGGGACCGAGAAAAGGUACCAUAACUAUCUCAAUCAGUCAUAUGUAGGCCAUUAGAAUAAUCAUGAUGAAGGACCUUACCAGUGGAAUCCUCCCUUCAAUUUGAAAAUGCAAAUGAAAGAAACCUGUCCUGUCAAAAAGUUGAACUCAAGCACAAUGAGUGCAAAAUAAGUCAUUUGCUUUCAAUGAAGUGGAAUGACGGGAGCCAAAAGAAGCAAUAUCUGAUAACUCCUAACCUUUAGUUUCCAGAUGUAUCAAGAAAAAAAGAGUGAAGCAAUAUAAAUUCAGUGAAGACACUUCCAUUUUACAACUAACAAAUGGACAAGUCCUCAAUCUAUCCAGAACAUCAUCUUGUACGUUCAAGAAACAUAAAUAUUUCUUCAUUCAAACUGUUUCAGAGAAUAAGAAAAAAUUAUUCAAACGAAACCAAGAAAUCUUUUUAAAAAAAUGGAAUUGCUCACGUUAUAGAGAACAAUGUAAAUAGAAAGUCCUCCUAUCUUAUAAACCGCUUAGUCAACUACACAUGUAUGCUAAAGUUCCAGUGUAAUGGACCUAAGACAAGCUAAAAUUUUACUGAUGAAGAGUGAAACCUUGAUUCCAGCGAUAUGAAGGAUGCUAGCUCAUCAUGGGUUAAAAAUGCUUUCAAAUAUGAUCCAUCAAACAGUAGCAUUUACAUAUUUGCACAACACAAAUUCAGAAAUUCGAAAACACUGUUACAGAAAACUAGCAAAAUCAGUUUAAUAAGGCAAUGAAUCAUUACAAGAAAAAACUAAGAACAAACACCUUCAUAUGAGAAAGAGGCACAGUAAAACACACACAUACAUAUGAAACAGUUCGUGGGUUCAGCCUUUGCUUUGCGUUCUAAAUCUUUGACAAGAAGUGGAACAUUUUCCAAGCUGAGAAGAUCUUCGUGCCGGUAUUUUUAUUCUCAUCCUCUGGCAAGACAGAAUAUUUUCCAAGCUCAGGAGACAUUCUUUAGCUACGGAAGAACCUCUCCAAACUCUUCAUGGUAAGAUAGCUGUCAUGUUCACAUAACCAUCCGCUUCUCUAUUUGUCCAUUUUGAUCCUUACUUCAUUUGGGUAAACAAUCAAUUUUAUUUGAAACAAAAAAUCAGGGAAGAAAGAUUGGUAUGCCAGCCAUGGGCAAUUGCAAAACUCCACUAAUAUUUUGACGUAGCUAUUACCAUGAUACAUCAUCGAGUAUUGCUGAAGUUUUCUAUUGGUAUCCAUGAUCAUAGGAUGAACAAAAAGGGUGAUUAAAAAAAUAUGUUCAAAUUUCAGAAAACAGGCGAACUAAGCGCAAGGAAUCAAAUGGUGUGCUCAAGCGCCACUCUCUUUGUUUCUUGCUAAGAGGUCUUCCUUUCCCUGCUUUUUCUCUAUUUAUCCUCACAUCUGCCAAACCCCAAGUGCAACAUUUUGUUUCUAUGUCAAAGGAAAUGAGCCUGAAAACGCCAUCACUUUCUGAGGAUGAAUCUGACAUAACUAUCUCAGUGACAUAUUUCACAUACAUAGGCCUAUCCUUGAACCGAUCUAGCUCUUCUGGAAUUUGAACUACCCUUUCAACACCUGGAGAUGAUACCUGAGGCAAAUUUAGGCCUUGAAAGGUUAACAUUAAAAAAUUAUUGAGAAGGCAAUUUCAUUCAAGUUUCAGCUAUAAAGUAUACAAGGAAAAUCCCACCCCUAAAUUAAAAACUAAGAGUGGCUACUUCUUAUGCAUCCAAUAAAUAGGCAACCCACACUUUCUGUUAAAAUCUCAAUAGUUAGCCAACUGGAGUUACUCAAUCUGUACAGAGGAGGUUAUCCCGAGUGGGAAUAUGGGUUCAAACAUCUCCCAUAUAUAUAUAUAUAUAUAUAUAUAUAUAUAUAGCUGGUUUCCUUAAUGAGCCUCGAGCUUGACCUUACUGCUACUCUGCUCAUUUAGAUGGGCAAGUUAACUCAUUUAUAAGCUCAUUAAUAUAUUAAUUUUGUUAUAUAUAUAGCUAACCAUAAGAUAAUUAAAAUAUAAAUGAAAAUAUAUAAGUACAUAGAAUAUAUAUAUAUACACACACACACAUAUUAUUAUUGGUGAUCAUAAUUAAUAAUUUAAUUAUUAUGAUUUAUUGGGGCAAUCAUUAACGUAUUUCUAAUUAAGCUUGACAAGUCAAGCUCAAGUUCAUAAUCCUAAAAAAGUGAUAAAUGAGCUAAAGUGGAGCUGACGUUGAAUUGAGCUCAAAUCUAAUAAAAUCUAAACAACCUAAGCCCAAGCUCAAUGACAUCUAACCAGCUAAGCUUAAACUUUUCAAAGUUCAGCCUGACUCGUUUAUAGUCCUAACAAUUAGCCUAUAAAACAAGAAGAUGUAUCGGUACCAUCCACCUCAUUAUUAUACAGCAUGGACUAUAAAACAAGUUAGGGAAAAUCAUUACCUCCAAGGAUAUAUCAUUUGGUAUAAUCUUAGCAAGCUCAGCUUCAUCCAACCAUGCUCUGUAGGUUGUGGAAAAGGCUUCAAUAUCUUCCAUAGUGGGGGAACCAGACCUGCAAUGUAUCCUUCUGAAUUAGAGCCUGAGAAGCACUCCAUGCUAGAAGACAACCUAUACAACUCGCUGGGCAAAAAAACUAAUAGCAAGCAAUUCCAGAAAUGUUUCUAGUAACAUAACAAACAAAUAAGCAGGUCGAGCAUGGUAAUUAACUAACAGUAUAGGUCAUUUGGCCAUCUACACAUUUUUUUGCUUGCAAUCCUUCUCACCAAUUAUAAAAAUAUGUUGGAAGGCAUUUUUUAAUCUUAAUGCACAAUGUACAUGACCAAGGAGACCAGUGAACCCUCAACAUGAUUAGUACAUAUCAAGUUGUCUAGACUUGUCUCAAAUAAAAUUCAAAACUUGAGCAUGGACGCACCUUAUUCAAUGUCGCUUUUAGCAUGGCCUUUCAUAACCAAUCUAGUGAUGAAUGUAAAUAUUGAAAUUUGAGUUCAGGCAACCAAAAAAUAUAUAUAUCAAUCAGCUUCAAAAUAGUACAUCAACUUAUUCCAAUUGUCCAAAAUAAAAUUUAGAAGUACCAAAAUAGAUUAUACAGUUUAAUAUGACAACAGAAAUGACUGGAUAAAAAUAAUGGAUGGAAUUUCUAGGUAUUCUUUUGCCAACAUAAGACCUGUAAAAAUGAAAGGAGAAAAGAAAAGGAAAUUCUUGAAUUUGAGCUACUGACUUCAUUUUCAGGAAAGGUCCAUCAUAUUGCAUUCUAAUUCAUAGUUCAACCAAUUUCUUUGUUUUCGGAUCAAAAUUCAGCUCCAUUAAACUUCAAAUUCUUUGUUAAAAGAUUGAGAGAUUACCUCUACUUAUAUUCAAAACACAUAUGAGGACAAAGAAUGGAAAAGAAGAAAAAUUCAAGGGCCACCUGACAUAGGCUGAUAAGCAGGUAGAGACAAUGGAAACUUAUUCAAGCGAACAUUUACGCUGUUAAGACUGAAAUGUCUCUCAAAUGCACCAUCCUUCUGAUCCCUGCUUAAAGUUUACAAACUUUGUCUUCUAAUGGAAAAAUUCGUUUUUUGUUAGGGCAAUUUAAGCAACUAACUGAAUUUUAACUCUACUUCAUUCGAAAUGUCCUAUGGGCAUAAGAAGAGUUCAAUUAUACAUUUGUCAAUCAAUGUAUUAACAGAUUUACACCAUUAAAGACAUGCUCAAACUGACUUAUGACAGAUAUUUAAAAAAAUACACUGAGGAGUCACACUCUGAAUAUUCUUGUAGGAAACACAACCAUAAUAUAUAACUAUGUAUUAAUAGGACCAAAUUCAAUACAAUUUCUCAUAUAUGAAAUCAAACAAUGACUUACUUAUUAGUAAGCCUCUCAAUGCGCACUUGAAUUGUAGAAUUUGACAAUGUCUUAAAGGCAUAUAUCUUCAACUCGCCAUCAAAGGAUUGGCAAACUUCUUCAGCUAUUCUCAAUGCUUCUUUAUCCCACCAUGUCCCAGCAAGGGAAAUUCCACCUCCCCCGCCCCCAUCUCCAACCUUAAGACAAGGGGAAUACAGUAAGCAACAUUGACUUAGUUUCAGCAUAUAAAAUCAAGGACGCUUUACUAAUAAUCUUCACAGAAACUUACAUAGAGUUCUGCUUCAUCUUCCACGUACUGAUCCUCCAAAUUGUCACCUUCCAAAUCGUCACCAUCACCAUCCAUCAAUGCCUCUAAACAAUGAACUUCUCAUUAAACAACGAUUUCAUUUCCGAACAAUUUGCAACACUUAUAUAUUUCAAAGCAAGAAAACGCAUCACUAUAACUCCACUACCCCAAUUUCAUAACAAAACACUAACUAAUAAGCAUGGGUAUUGCAGUUUAACCAUAAGACCAACAUUUUCAAUUUUUCAUAGCAUAAAGAACCAUUACAUACAACUAUUUCACCAAGAACAUAAUUAAAUUGAAAGACUACGAUAAAAUAAAAAAUAGUUUAGAAUGUAAUAAAUGAAGAACAAAGGAAUGAACAAGCUCUACAAAAAAGGAAGUAAAUGUGUAAUGAUUACCAUCUUCAAGGUCACCGAAGAGAAGCUGUUCUUCUUCGUCUUCAUUGUCCAUCGAUGCUUCUUCAAUUAAGGUUGGCUUGAGAACUGGCUCAGUCUGCGAGUUCCUCUUCUUUGCGUGAAGCGUACUAGACUUCAUUGGAAUUAAAUUAGACGGGUGCAUCCAAAAUGAGAACUCGAAGUUGCGGUUUGACAAAGGCCUGAAACCGUAAGAGAAGCUCUUGUUUUGUGGAGCUGAGAUUUCAGAGACUCUCAUAUUGCAAGAUGAAAUCAAAUCCAUUUUUCGAUUUUCAGAAGUGAGAAAUUUUAUUUCCUUAGCCCCUUGAUGCAGCGGCAUGAAGAGUGAGAAAUUCCCAGACAAUGGAAACGUUCUGAUUUUUUUGUGGAAGCUUGUAGAAGCAGGCUGUCGCGUUUGAAGUGCGAGAGGUAAUUGACUAAUUGCAAUACAAGACGAUGUCGUUGAUGCGCAAUUAAUCAAAACGACGUCGAGGUUCAUAGUUCCCGUCCCGCCCCAGCAUUAAUUUACAGGAGAUUUAUAAUUUAAUAUAUGCACAUUGUAAUUAUUAAUAAGUUAAUAUUAUAUUUUUAAAAAUUUAUUAAAAUAUUUUUAUUUUUUUAUUUUAUUAUUAAAAAUAUAAUAAAAAAUUAAAUUAUCGCCUUGUUUUUUCCUCCUUUUUUAUUGUCUCUUCCCUCCUCUUUAUUUUUUCUUUGAUUCUUCCUUUACUUUCUCUUCUUAUUUGAUUUUUAUUUGAUUUUUCUUUUUAUUUUUUUUAAAGAGGAUAAAAAAAAUUUUCUUUUGUUUCUUCUUAUUUUUUAAGGAAAAAGAGGAUGGGAGACUAUUUUAUUGACGAAAAUAGUAGAACUAUUUGACUAAUUGAAAAAAAAUGAUAAGGACAUUUUAAUAGAUAUAAAAAAAUAUAAUAAUAUUUUAAUAAAUAUGAGAAAAGAUAAAAAUAUUUUAAUAAAUUUUAAAAAAUAUAAGAAUUAAUUUAUUAAUAAUAAUAAUAUCUAAGAACUAAAUAAAAUUUUUAUUUGAAGGUAAAAUUAUAUUUUAAAAAUUUUAUCUCCAAUCUUUUAUCUAUUUUUAAUAGAAAAAAAGACGAGAGAAUUAUUUUGUUAGUGAAAAGAAAGAUAAAAAUAUUUUAAUAAAUUUUUAAAAAUAAAGAGAUUGACUUAUUAAUAAUGAUAAUACUCAUGAAUUAAAUUAUAAAUCUCUCUUAAUUUAUUUUAUACUGAUCGUUAAUUUUAUUUUAUAAUUAAUUUAUUUGGUAAAAAUAAUUUAAAUGAAUUAUUAUAAAAUAAUAUGAAAUUUUAAUUUUUUUUAAUUUUAUUAUUUACAUUGUUUGCUAUUUAAAUUUAAAUAUUAUUAACCUUAUUCAAAUUUUAUAAUAUAUAAUAAUAAUUUUGUGAAUUGUAAAGGAAGUUUGGAGAUUGAAGCUAAAUUAACUUUGUUUUGAUAUAUUAAAUAAAAUUAAAUUGUGUAAAUUUUUUUGGAUUAAUCCUAUUUAAAAUUUAAACUAUGCAUGUUUUUGUAUAUUAAUAAAAUUAUUAUUAAAAUUUGUAGUCAUAAACUUUUACGAUUUAUAACGUAAUUAUAAUAUAUCUAUUUUUUUAUUAAUGUAAAUAGAUUGCAUUUUAUCAAAAUCCUGAGGGCUAAAGGAUACAUGAUCCAAAACUAAAAAUCCAUAGAAAUAAAUACAAAACAAAUUAAAAUCAUAAUAAAGGAUUCAACCUAACCGAUUAAAAACAAAAUCAAUCAAAUAAAAAAAAAAAAAAACAACUAAACCAAAGAACCAAUUCAAGAACAGUCUAUNNNNNNNNNNNNNNNNNNNNNNNNNNNNNNNNNNNNNNNNNNNNNNNNNNNNNNNNNNNNNNNNNNNNNNNNNNNNNNNNNNNNNNNNNNNNNNNNNNNNNNNNNNNNNNNNNNNNNNNNNNNNNNNNNNNNNNNNNNNNNNNNNNNNNNNNNNNNNNNNNNNNNNNNNNNNNNNNNNNNNNNNNNNNNNNNNNNNNNNNNNNNNNNNNNNNNNNNNNNNNNNNNNNNNNNNNNNNNNNNNNNNNNNNNNNNNNNNNNNNNNNNNNNNNNNNNNNNNNNNNNNNNNNNNNNNNNNNNNNNNNNNNNNNNNNNNNNNNNNNNNNNNNNNNNNNNNNNNNNNNNNNNNNNNNNNNNNNNNNNNNNNNNNNNNNNNNNNNNNNNNNNNNNNNNNNNNNNNNNNNNNNNNNNNNNNNNNNNNNNNNNNNNNNNNNNNNNNNNNNNNNNNNNNNNNNNNNNNNNNNNNNNNNNNNNNNNNNNNNNNNNNNNNNNNNNNNNNNNNNNNNNNNNNNNNNNNNNNNNNNNNNNNNNNNNNNNNNNNNNNNNNNNNNNNNNNNNNNNNNNNNNNNNNNNNNNNNNNNNNNNNNNNNNNNNNNNNNNNNNNNNNNNNNNNNNNNNNNNNNNNNNNNNNNNNNNNNNNNNNNNNNNNNNNNNNNNNNNNNNNNNNNNNNNNNNNNNNNNNNNNNNNNNNNNNNNNNNNNNNNNNNNNNNNNNNNNNNNNNNNNNNNNNNNNNNNNNNNNNNNNNNNNNNNNNNNNNNNNNNNNNNNNNNNNNNNNNNNNNNNNNNNNNNNNNNNNNNNNNNNNNNNNNNNNNNNNNNNNNNNNNNNNNNNNNNNNNNNNNNNNNNNNNNNNNNNNNNNNNNNNNNNNNNNNNNNNNNNNNNNNNNNNNNNUUUCAAAAAAAAAAAAAAACAAACUGUGGAGAGUAUUAUUUUAUCGUACCAUAUAAUAUUCUCAGUAUAUUACAUAAUAUUUAAUAACAUCGAGUCACACAAGUUAUGUAUGUACAGAUGGUAAAACUUCAUUAAUUUGUGAAAAAUAAUUUAUAUUUAAAAAAUAUUUUAUGUGAAAAAUAUUUUUUAAUAAAAUAAUAUAUUUUUUAUUAUUUAAUUUUAAUUUUUAAAAAAUAAAAUUUAUUAAUAAAAUUAUAUAUAUAAAUUUUAAAUAUGUAAAAAAUGAUUUUUUCUUUUUAAAUUAUUUAUUUUUUAUUUUAUUUAAAAAAAUAUUUUUCAUUAAUUAAAAUUUUUAAAUAUUCUAAAUAUUAAAAAAUAUUUUUCUAUAAAAUAUUUUAUAGAAAAUAACCGGAGCUUAAGAAUAAUUUUAAACGCAAAAAACAAUAAUAGAUUAAAAAAUUGGACCCCAUUCAACAAAAUAUUCAUUGGUGUGAUGAGAUGUAAGCUAUUCGGUUUGAAUUAAAUUAAUUUAAAAUUUUAAUUUAAUUUUUAUAUUUUUUAUUUAAUUUAAUUUUAAUUUUUAAAAAAAUUUAAUUAUUUUAUGCUAGUGUAAUUUUAAUAAAAAAUAUUAAAAAAUAAAACUAAAUUUAUUAAUUAGCAAUACUAUAUAAUGAUAUAAAAAAAAUUAUACUCUAAUUAAAAUUAAAAUAUUUAUUUAAAUUUUAAACACUAAUAGUGAAAUAUUAAAAAUAAAAAUUUAAUCGAUUAAAUUAAAUGAAAUCAAACUGAUUUAAUUUAGAUUGAUUUCUAUUAAAUUAAUUUAAUUUAAUUUUUAUAAAUAUUUAAAAUUUGAUUUAUUUAGUUCUGAAGCAAAUCAUAGAAAUACUUACCUCUUAUGACUUGAUAUAGUUUAGAGCUAUAAAUUAAUUAUACGGCUCAUCAGGUAUUUAAGACUCACUUGAUAAAAAUUUAAUUUAGGUUAAUAUUUUUUGAAAUGAAUGUAAUUUAAACUAAAAGUUAUUAAAAUUAUAAAUAAGAUAAUAAUUUAGAAAUAGUUUAAGAUUUAAUUUAAUAAAAGUUUAAUUUUUUAUUAUAUUUACUAAAUAAAUUAAAUUUAAAUUUAUUAAUAUUCAAUUUUAAUUCAAAAUGAAACAAAACUUUAAUUUACAUUGAACUCGCAAGAAAUUUUGUCCAAACGCACUUCAAAAUUUGGCUCAGUUUGAUUGUUUACCUAUAAGUCAAAGUGGCCGCCGAUAUCUAGCCAGGUAAACGAUUGCGUGCGUUUGGCCCUAAGGGCAGGAUCCUAUUGAAAUAGAAGCAAAUUUGAAGGACUGGUUUUAAUAAAAAAAGGCCGAAAUGAAACGAAACAAAACGAACCUAUAUAUGCAACGAUAGAUAUCUUGUAGAACGAAACUCAGAACGAGAGACAGCAAAUAACCAGUUUCUUGCGGUUCCCAGUUUUUCUCCGUUUUGGAUAUCUUCCCUUCCGUUCUUUUUCUUCGUAGCCACACUGAUUUCGAGGCCCUUUGCUUUUUUCCCAAUUCUUAAUUGAACAUCUCUUUUUCUUGCAUUCCAAGCAGAAAUUUCCCUCCAGUCUCCUGAAGCAGGGAGGGGGGAGGGAAGAACCGGGGUGCUUGUCGAUUUCUGGAUUUUGAUAGAUAUUUUCGCGCAAUCCAGGUGUGCAAAUCUCUUCCUAUUCUUUUUUGCUUUGAUUAUUUAUAUUGUUUUCAAAGCAAUCCCUUUUCUGUUACGAUUUGAUAAAUCCUAUCUGUUUGGAUGUCGGUUAAUAAUCAUUAGAAGAAAGCAAUUCAUUUCAGACCUCAAGAUGCUAAAUUCCUCGUUGUGAGAUCUGGUUUUUCUGGAUUUUAUAUGACUUCUGAUUCUGUGUUUUGAAUUGCAAGCUGUACUGUAUGAUCGAGAGCUUUGAAUGAGACUGGUGGUUUAAUGCUUUAUAUUUUUCCCCUCGAAUUAUUCAGGAUCUUAUGGGUUUAUGCUUUAAUUGGAAAUUUGGUGAAUCUCAAAGUCUGUAUAAACAUUUCAAAAUCUGUAAUUUUGUAGGGGCCCAGAAACUUGAUUAUCCCAUGUUAUCUUGGUGGCGACGGGCAUGAUAGAUCUGAGUCUCAUACGAAUAUCGGCCAAAAUAAUCCCUACCAGUACCAGAUUUCAAGUUCCAAAAUCUUUCUCCGUUGGCUCCCAACAUUACAUGGCGAUGAACAUUGAUCAAUCGCAGCUGCAAGUUAAAAUGAACAAGAAAGUAGAAGAAAAAGACAAGGAAGAAGCGAAGAAGAAACUGCCUCCGCCGCCGGAGAAGCCGGAGCCUGGAGAUUGUUGUGGAAGCGGAUGCGUGAGAUGCGUGUGGGAUGUGUACUAUGAGGAGCUUGAAGAAUAUGACAAGCUCUGUAAAUCCAUUUCCGAUUCCGAUCCCGAUCUCUCCAGUUCUAAGCAAUCUUGAUUAUUGUAGGAUAAUUCCUGCUAAGACCCUAUGGAACCAGACAUAAAUAAGAAUAUCUCAUUUAAUUUUUAUAUGAGAUUUUAAUUUGUAUCGUGAGAAGUUGAAUUCAUUUUGAAUAAAUUUUAUUUAUGGCCUUAUUUGGCUGAGAUAUGUUAUUUUUGAAAUCGCUUCCCAGUAAUUACUUUUCUCAAUUGAUAAAAAAAAUUUUAAUUUUUCAAAAUAAAAAAAAUCUUUAAUUUUUUAAAAAAUGAAAAAUUAAUGGUCAACUGAACAGAAAUAAAUUUUAUUUUUUUAUUAAAUUAUUUCCAAUUAAAUAAAUUAUAUAUUUAAAGUUGCAAUUUUAGUAAGGGAUAAAACACAAUUCUUCAUAGAAAUUUACAAUUUUUAAUUCUCACAUUUAAUUUUAUUGAAUUAAUUUUAUUUUAAUUCAAAAUAAGCUUAGUAAAAAAUAAAUUCAUUACUAAGUAAUAAAAUAUUAUCUUUUUUUUUCCAAUAAAAUAUGGCAUUUGUAUAAUUAAUUGACUUUUUAAAUAAAAUUAUAUUUUUAUAAUUAAUUGACUUUUUAAAUAAAAUUAUAAUUCACUAACAAUAUUUAUUAAUAAAAAUUAAUGUAUAUCUAUAUUAUGAUAGUAUUAUAUAAUAUUAGAGAAAAAUAAAAAAAAUUAUAUAAAAAUUAAAUAAUAUCCUUUGAAGAACGUUACAUUAAAAAAUAAAUAUAUAUUUAUACUUCAUAAUAUAAUUAUUAUUUUUUGAAAUGGAAUAUAAUUAUUUAAAAGUAUAAUUAAAAUGAUAUUAUAAUUUAAAUAUAAUGUAAUAUGUACUAUAAAUAUAUUGAUGCUUAAAUUUUAAAUAACUGAUUAAAUUUACUAUUAAUAGUCAAUAAUUUAAUAAUAAUAAUAAUAAUGAUAUAUUAUAUAUAAAUUUUAUAAUUAAAAUUUAUUUUAUAUUUUUAUAUUUAAUUUUUUUAAUUGAAAUUUAAUGUGUAAUGAAAUAUUUUCAAAGCUCAGAAUGAUAUGGGGUUUUUUCAUAUAAAAAAAAAUUUCAUAUCUAUUUUUUUUAUGAAGACAAAUUCUAGAGCCCGUUUUGCUCGUUCCGGUUCUCUUCCUCUCUCUAUAACGAUUUCUCCCUCGUGACAGCUCUACGCCGAUAUGAAAGAGUAGAAACUCUGCUGCACUUUGAAUUAAAUCACAUCAACUUCUCAAUAGCAAUUAUCACCAGGAAGACCACAAUCCUUAGAUCUGAACGGUCAUUCUCCCAUUGGUUACAGGAAAAUGGUGUUGGUAUCGGCGGUACGGGAUUACAUAAACCGUAUGCUGCAGGACAUUUCCGGCAUGAAGAUGCUCAUCCUCGAUUCCCAAACGGUAAUCUCUUGUCCAUCUUCAAUAGUUCUUACUGGAUUUUCUUUAGUUUUCUUUAGUGCUUGCUUUUUUUUUUUUGGUUUAUUUCAUUAAUUAGUAUGAUUCAAUAAAAAACUUUGUGUUGCAACUAAGGUUUUUAAAGGUUGAUAAUUUGUUGGAAAAUUGGUUACUAUCCAAGCUUAGCGCACCAGAGGGGGUUGUUGCUAGGACUAAGAUUAUGAUUAAGUAAUUGAAAGUGUACAAAUGCAGUUCCAUCAGUUCUCAGGCUUUGCAGAGUCAGUCUGAUGUGAAUUGAGGCAAAAAUGGUUGAGAAUUGUGAAAUGGCGUUCCCCAUAUUGUUAUUUCUUUAUUUUUGGAUAGAUGAUAUUGGACAUCUCAAGUUAAUUUUCUGUUUUUUCAACUGUCUGAAAAUUUACCAAUCUGCUAUCAAUUACUAUCUACAUGACUUCAACCAUAAAAUCUUGCAUCCAUUCUCCUUGGUUGAAUUUUGACGAAUAAAAUGGUGGAUAUGCAGCUUAAAUAAAUAGUGAAUUUGUGUCAUUCAUGUUUAUGGUGGUAUUUAAGGAUAAGGAAUAAAUUACUAGAUUAUUUGGUCUCGUUUUUAUUGGUUAACCAAAGUCCUGUGGAAAAAUAUUACAAGAUGACAUUUUGUUACGUUGUUUUUACGAGUUUCAGGUUAGGAUUGUAAGUGUUGUCUAUUCACAAUCAGAGCUUCUUCAGAAGGAAGUAUUCUUGGUAGAAUUGGUAGAUUCCAUUUCUAAGUCAAAAGAAUCUAUGUCGCAUCUGAAAGCAGUUUGCUUCCUUCGCCCUACAUCAGAUAAUAUUCAGCAUUUGCGCUGGCAAUUAGCUAAUACUAGAUUUGGGGAGUAUCACCUAUGUAAGCUCUUAUGAGGAGUUUGGAAUAAUCUCUUGAUAUCUGAAGUUUUAUUUAUAACAUUUUGAUGCUAAGUUAAAUUCCCUUUUUUUCUCUAUGGUGUAUUUACAGUUUUCUCUAACAUGUUGAAGGAUACCCAGAUUCAUAUUUUAGCUGAUUCAGAUGAGCAUGAAGUUGUGCAGCAAGUUCAGGUAACUUGUGAUUUAUUGACAGUUUUGUUAACUGAAUUCUAUUCUUCCCAUCCCUUUUUUUUUAGUGCUUAAAUAAAUAUAUCAUUUUUUCUUUCUCAUCUCAAGUGUAUGUGAAUAAUAUGUUUGUAAUAGUAGGUCCAUGACUUUUUGCAGACAAGAUUUUUAAGAUUCAAAUCAGCUUCAUGUGUGAAUUAUGGUAGGUUCCAAGAAAGAAAUAAUUGUGUUGUGCAAUGGUCAGAUUGCCAACUUUAGUUUCCAAGCAGAAGUAGGUUUGAGCCACUUUAUGCUCAAAUACUGAGCAAUAGUUAUAUCUAGAUUGAGUAUAGUUUGUUUAUAUCUCAGCGAAUUCGAAUUGCCCUAGCAUAGUCUUCAAUCUUUCCUGCAAGCCAUUUUACCUGAUAUUUGGGCUAUCAAGCUUGACAUGAGUGGGGAAAUCUAUACUCAUGGAGACUUCAGUUUGAUACUUGAAUAUGUUUAUUGCCUUUAAUGUGGCAGUCCAUUUAUACAUUUAAAUACUAUUUAUUGUCUGCAAUUUUUUCCUUCUUUAUAUUAAUUAGACAUUGUCAUCGUGACAUCUUAUUUGUUCAGUCCUUGAUCUGAAAUUAGUUUUAAUUGCUCUAAUGAUUUUGCAGGAAUUUUUUUCAGACUUUGUUGCUCUUGAUCCUUAUCAUUUCACAUUGAACAUUCCUUCAAAUCACAUUUACAUGCUCCCAGCAGUUGUAGAUCCUUCAGGAUUGCAGCACUUCUCUGACAGAGUUGUGGAUGGUAUUGCAGCAGUUUUCUUGGCAAUGAAACGAAGGCCUGUUAUUCGAUAUCAAAGAACCUCUGAUAUUGCAAAAAGGAUCGGACAAGAAAUAGCAGUGAGUAAUGCAUGGUGAAAUACCACACAUUCUUGGUCUGCAUAUCAGCAUAUCUCGAGCUGCCAUUGAAACCACUUUUCCAUGUUGAUAUCGCAAGUUCUCACUUACCCCUUCUUCAAUUUCAUUUCUUAGAAUCGGGUCAGAUAUAUACAAAGAAACACAAGUUUUGUUAAGGUUGCCUUUCUGCAUUGUGUGUAUUUCCAAAUUCAUAGACAUAUGAACCUAUAAUGGAUAUUCAUACCAUAUCAAUGCAAAAUGUAUUCCCUUGGAUUGAAGGCACUAUGAACUUACCAUAAAUUUUGAUAACAUGAAAGCUGAUUUCUUUGAAUUUUAUGGUAUGACAGAAGUUGAUGUACCAGCAGGAAAGUGGCCUCUUUGACUUCAGGCGAACAGAAGUUUCUCCAUUAUUGCUGAUAGUUGAUCGAAGGGAUGAUCCUGUGACACCUUUGCUGAAUCAGUGGACCUAUCAGGUACACUGUGCCCAUGGCAUUUGAAUUUGAGGUCUCCAUAAAUGGAUAAUACUCAUCAAAUAGUCUGGUGUCACACUGAUAAUGCCGUUCCAUGAUUUUUUUCUUUUGUUUUGCAGGCUAUGGUUCAUGAAUUAAUAGGCAUCAAGGAUAACAAAGUAGAUUUGAGAAGUAUUGGCAAGUUUCCAAAAGAUCAGGAGGUUGAUUUGCCUUUCUCCCCUGCCACUAACAUACUAAAUUAUAGUAUUUUACAUUAAGUAUCAUCUCCACGUUCUUUGUACUCACAGGAGAUUGUGCUGUCAUCGGAGCAAGAUGCCUUCUUCAAAGCUAACAUGUAUGAGAAUUUUGGAGACAUUGGAAUGAACAUCAAACGGUUGGUGGAUGAUUUUCAGCAAGUUGCAAAAAGUAACCAAAACAUCCAGACAGUAGGUUUGUAUUUGACGACAUUGAGAAUUCAAGCAUUGUUGAUUGUUGACAAUUUGUAAGUUUCAACUAUAAUUCAUUGCUUGGUUUACUGAUAUAACAGUAAAUGCUUUGAUUAACUGCAGAGGACAUGGCCAAAUUUGUUGAUAAUUACCCUGAGUACCGGAAAAUGCAUGGCAAUGUUUCAAAACAUGUGACAUUAGUAACAGAAAUGAACAAGAUAGUUGAAGAAGGAAAGCUCAUGUUAGUUUCAGAAACAGAACAGGAGUUGGCUUGCAAUGGUGGGCAAGUUGCUGCGUUUGAGGUAAUGUAUAUGACUCAUACAUUUUAGGUUUUGUCUUUAUUUCCUUUUGCAUGACCUUUGUAUGGUUUAAGUAAAAGUCACUGAUAUUUAAUAGGCACACCAUAUUUACAAAAUAGACCAAAUUUUAUAAAAUCGAUAUGAGAGCCAGUGGUGGGAGGAGGGGGCAUAACUGUAAUUAGUAUUUGUGGAGGUUUUUCGGCCUAGACGCUAAUAACACGAAGUCCUGGGUUUUUUAUCUCUGUUUUUGCACGAAAGUCUCAGAAAAUAAUUGUAGUUCCUAGGCGUAUUCAUUAUUGAUUCAUAUUCUAUCCUCGGACGGGAAGUCUCAAAGCUCUUUUGCCAGCUUAGCGUCUUAAUGGUCAAAUAUCUACCAGAAGUUUAUCCAUGUAAAAUUAAAGCCAGACUAAUCUGAAUUUACAGUUAGAAUAUAUGAAUAUGAUGUAAAUGUUGAUAUUGUCCUCCUUUCUUCCUGUACUUUUUUGCAGGCUGUGAUGAAACUUUUAAACAAUGAAAGUGUAUCUGACUUUGACUCUCAGCGUCUAGUGAUGUUAUAUGCCUUGCGGUAUGAGAAGGAAAGUCCUGUUCAAUUGAUGCAGCUCUUCAACAAGCUGGCUUCUCGAUCUCCCAAGUACAAGCCUGGGGUAACUAUCAAUCCAGAAUAACCUCGCUGCACGCUUUUAUUUGUAUUUAUAUUCUUGUUGAAAACUACACACCUUGGUGUAUGAUGCCAUUAACAUGUUUCCCAUGGAUAUGCAUGUUUUAAGUGGUCGUUUAUGACUAGAUGAAAUUAUUCAUGAAUGAGAAAAAGGAAGUUUAUCAGAUUUAGUCAAAUUUUCCCUUGUUGGGUCCUUCACUAGUCUUAAUUGAUUUGUAGGUUGGGGGAAUACAAUUUAUUGAGUUUAAUUUGAUUGUCUUACUGAAUUUAGGUUGCUUUAGCUUUCUCAUUAUCAUUGUUGGACUUCUAUCCUAUGUGCAGCUUAGGCUACAAUCAUGUGGAAAAAAGUUGCUCUCUUUUAAAGUGGUAAUGUUGAUAACUCUAAUACCAUUAGUUCUCAAUUGGUGAUAUGAGUAUUUAUAGUAUAAUAACUACUUUUACUAGGAUUAGGAUUUAGGAAACCCAACCCAAAGUAAGGAAAUACUAAAAUAACCUAACUAGGAAUAUACAAUCAACACUAACUAGGAAAUUCUAACAGUACCUAAAAAAAAAAGAUAACUAUUGCUUCUUAAUUAAAUUUUCUAAAUAAUAGAAAGCUACACUUUCUAAUUACAAAUAUAAAAUCUAAAAGAAAGAUCUUAAUUUUUCAAUUAGAAGUUAAAUAAAAUAAUUCCUUAAUCUUGUUUUCCUUGAUUGCAUCGUUCUCCCUCGGUUGAGAAUAUUCAACCUCAAUUUCUAUAGUGCUGAUAUAUCAAGAGCUGGAUUGAAGAAUAAGGGACUCUUAUAUUCUGGGAGCAAAGCAAUAAGAUUGAAAUGAAGAACUCUAUUUGUUCCUUAGCAUCCCUGGUAAUACCUUGUAGUCGUCAAUUUCAGCUUAUAGUCUUUGAAUUUUAGCGCACAUAAAAGCUGACUAAAGCACAAUCUAUAUCUGUGUUAUGUUUCAAUUAUUGUUUCUGUCCAUAAUGGAUGUCAAAAAUGGAAUCAUGAAGUUGGAAUUAAUAUCAAAGGAUUUUGCCAACGUUGCUGAUGUAGCAGCGUCAAGUGAUGUGGCAGUACAUUAGCAGGUGGUGUGGCAUCUGAUGUGGCGGAGAGAAGGCUGAGAUCAGACGUGAACCAGCAAACAGCGAGCAUGUUCUUAUUUCAGUUUAUGGCUGAUUCGUCAUGGACUGUUGUUUGAGAGUGGUGGUGCAGUAAUUUGGUGUUCAUUGCAUUCUAUGUGUAAUCUCCACUAGCAAAUGAAUGAAAAAAUUUGAUACCAAAAUAAUGUGAAACCAGUGUUAUUUAAAGCCUUGAGUAAGGCGAGACCUCUUACCAUAGACGCGCCUUUCCUCGCCUGACUUAAGGCGCGAGGCUCCUCAUAAUUAUGCUAACUAAUUAAAAUAAAUGCUAAGCAAUUAUAUACUAACUUAUUAAAAAAUAAAUAAUAUGAAUAUCUAAAUAGUUGACUUCCAAGUAUAUUUCAAUAUUAAAAAAUUUUUAUAUUUAUGUAAGAAUAUAUAUAUAAAAGUAUGGCAUUUCCUUCAAAAAGGCUCUCUGUCUCACCUUGGAACAAUCAAAGAGAAAAAGGCAUAAAAUUUGCAGUUGUCGAUAUCAAUAAUAAGAAGCUCUUCUAUAAUACCUAAAUGACAGGUAUUUAUAAUAUUAUGACUAGUAUUGCUAAGAAUUAGAAAUUCUCAGAGUCUUGGUUUUACAUUCAUAGUUAGAGAACUAUGAAUGUAAAACCAAGACUGAGAAAUUCUAAACACUUGAAAUAUUGCGUCUUAAUUAAUUUUCUUAAAUAAUAGAAACCUAAACUUUGACUUGUAAUAUAAAUUCUGGAGGAAAAAUCUUUUAAAAUUAAUUAAAUAUAAAUAAAACUUAAAUCUAGCUUUUUUUGACCGCGUCAAUCUUGACCAUUAACUGGUUUUGAUAUACUGAUCAUCAUGAAAUAGCAGAUUGUCCAAUUUCUCCUGAAGCAAGCAGGUGUGGAUAAGCGAACUGGGGAUCUUUAUGGGAAGCGGGAUCUCUUGAAUAUUGCUCGUAAUAUGGCUCGCGGCUUAAAGGUUUGGGCUAAAAAACCAUCCAUGCUUAUUCCUCUUAUUUUUUUCAAUCCAUAUUUAGUUACUUACAGAUUAUAUUUCCACCUUUGUUUAGGGCGUUGAAAAUGUAUACACCCAGCACCAGCCUCUCCUGUUUCAAAUUAUGGAAAGCAUAACGAAAGGGCGGAUGAGAGAUGUGGACUACCCUUUUGUUGGGACUCACUUUCAACAGGGAAGGUGGGUAGCAUAAGAAUGGGAAAUUCGUGGUUAUUGUUCUGUUGCUUGAGUUUGACAUGUGAAGUGGGUUCUACAAAUUGAUGUGCCAAAUUGCACAUCCAUUUUGCAACUGUUUUCACAUUUUUAAGUCAAAACACAAGCUGAUGAUUGAUCAUUGACUUGUCAUGAUGUUAUAUGCUUAAUAUAUGUAUUACUGUUUUGCAUGCACUUGUGUUAUAUUUAAGCUGAUAGUGGACCUAGUUAACCCAUCAUCUUAGUCAUUUUUUAUUCAACCUCUAUCACUUCACAACAAAGAUCUGAAGCUAUUGUGUUUAAUGCUUACUCCUAAACUCAAGUGGUUAACUAGAACUGCACAGCAAAACAUGAGAAUAAAUAUAGACGAUAGUAUUCAAUGUCACUGACUUUGGGCACUAAUUGAAAGGGGGCAUCUAGAAUUAUGAAUGGGCCAUCAAAGUCAGGUAAAAGACAAUGGGCUGUGCAUCAAAUGAAGUCAGCUUUCAUGAUUGUCAAAUACUUGGGUGGACUAUUGUUACUUCAGGCAUUAUAUUUAUCAUGCCAUUGAAGGGUGAUUUAAGCUGCAUUAUGUGCAAAGACAGCUUGAUGUUUUUGUGAUGUGUAGUCCCAGAUGGUGGGCUUGGGAAGUGCAUGAUGCAUCAUAGAUCGUUGCUUGCUAGCAGUUGAUUCGAUCAGUAUUCAUACCUACUUAAUAUGUCCAAUGUCAAAACCUAUUUUAAACUCUAUUGAAAUCCAUACUAAACUACCCAUUUUUUUCCCCUAUACCUUAACCUGUUUCGAAGCCCAACUCGUAGACAUCCCUAAUUUUAGUUGAGCUCUUUGAUCUCUAGAUCCUCAAUGAUUAACUGUGUUAUGUUGUGAAUAUAAUGGUUUUGGAGAAAGAAUGAAAGUGGUGUUUUAGAAAAUGAAAUGCAACCAAUGCCUUGGAAUCCAUGUCAAAUGACAUAAGCUAUAUCCUUUGUACAGGCCACAAGAUGUGUUAAUUUUCGUUGUUGGUGGGACAACUUAUGAGGAAUGUCGUUCUAUAGCUUUGCAAAAUGCCAGUAAUUCAGGAAUUCGUUUCGUCCUUGGUGGUUCUACAGUUCUUGAUUCAAAGAGGUAAAGAUUUGUGGUGUUUGUCAUCUUUGGAGUCUUCUAAUGUUAAUAUGUUAGAAGCGGAACAGAAGUUAGAGUUUGCAGAGCUACCUAUGUUUUAUGCAUGGCAUGCUUAAUUUAGAAUCACAAGUCAAAGUGAAAUUAUGACCUACAUCUCUUUUGCUUAUUUUAGUAAACUUUUGUUUGGAAAUGCAGCUUUCUGAAAGACCUCGAAGAAGCUCAGAGGAUUUCUCGAUCUAGCACCAGUGUUGUUUGAAGUUCAUUCACGAUAAUGCUCUGACAGCUAGCAGUUAAAGAGAUUGCUAUAAUAAACAUGGGAGAUAUCAACGGCAAGAGCAGGUAUAAUCUUCACCCACUCGCAUGAGAGUUGCAAAGUGAAGAGUUUAGAAGGCCUAAAACCCCACAAGUUCAUGGAGAAAAAUGAUGAAAUCCUACUACUUUCUUUCUCAUCUCCCGAUUGUCCGAAAAGACACUCAACCAACAAUUUUGAUAUAUCAAUGCGUCCAUCCAGCUGAGCAUAUUGAGCUUGUCAAGAGGACAAAAGACAAAGUACAUGUAUGAUGAAAAAAGUCGUUGAAUUUUGUUUAAACUUUGGCUUUUAUGUUGAAGUUAACAUUUUUGUGGAAAUUUCAGCACGCCACAUAACCAGGUAUUAACUGCCUUGUACAAGCAGUGAUUAGGAAGGAUUUUGCACACAAUUUUAUAAUUUAGCAUGAUUUAUAUUUUUCAGAACACCGAUAAAUGUAUUAUUUUGAUUUUAUUAUUUAUGUCAAAAUGCAAGUGAAUUGGACGAUUUUUUUUUUACCAUCCUGAGACCCAGGAUCGAGGGAGUGAUGCCGUAGGCCAUCCCAACCAGAGGCAGCCGGCGAAUUGGACGAUUAAAAAGUUAAUGGAAUAGUGUUAUUUUUUAGAAAGGAAAUAAGUUUCUAUAUUGUGAUUUUAAGAUUGACACUCAAUUUUAAAUUUUUUUUUUCUUGAAACUUAUGGCUGGAGCAGGUAGGUGAAGUUCAAUUUCAGAUGUUGAUUGCUUUAUUAAUGAAGGUGAGGUUUCCAAAAUGUCAGUGAUUGGCCUGGAUUCGGUUUACUUCUUUUCGGCUAGAUUUAGUUCUUUCCACCCUUGUCUCACAGAAGUAGUCGUGAAAAUGGACAUGAGUGGUUGAAAAAUAAACUUGAAAACAAAAGGAGCAGUCCAUAUUACUUUUGGAGAGCACUCUACCACUCACUAACAUUGUUGAAGGAGAGGCUCAUUCGACAUUAAUUUCUGAUAAGGAAGAAAUAGAAAAUGGGAAGUAUUUUGAUAGUGGGAGGAGAUACCUCUGUCCUUUUAAUAAAAGUGAAAUUGGGUGAUCAAAUUAAAAGUGAAAUUGAGUGAUCAAAUUAAAAAUUUUAAUAAAAGUGAAGUUGCGUGAUUAAAUUUAAAAUAUAUUUAAAAUGAAGGAACAAGUUAAUAUCAACUCAAUUUAUUUUAAAAAUAAAAAAAGAUUAUGGAAAUGAUUGUUAUUAUAAUUUUUAAAAAGGUUUUACUUUCUUUUCUGUCCAUAAUCUCAAUCAAAGGAGUCCAUGUUGUGAAUCUAUAAAGGUACCAACAAGACAAGACCUGCGCAGCUAAAUGUGCCGCAGCAUUCAUGAUCAUGAUCAAGCACCUGACCUUAUUUGGCUAAGCAAAAUAGCUGUCUGGUAUAGCUUGGCCUGGUCUACAAUUUCCAGUGAUGAAAAAACAGUUUCAGCAGAUUUCCUACCUAAUUACUCAUACAAUAUCCUUCUCACCCUCCAUUAUUGCCAACUUCAACUUAUCUCCUCCCUUAAAUGGCUAAUGUUUGCCCAUUAUCCCUCGACUUUAAAAUAAAUUAUACUUGGUACCUUAUUUUUAAUUUAUUAUUUAAAAUUCCAUCAUCUAAUAAUUUUUUAUAUUUUAUAAUUUAAUUCAAAAUUCGAAAAAAAUUGUUAAAAUUAUUGAAAGUUAAAAAAAAUUAUUGUAAUUAUAUCUAAAUUUAAAAUUUGAAUUGAAAAGAGCAUGUCUUAAUGACAUAAUAAGAUGAUAUAAAUUGUUUUAUUAUAAUCAUAUGUCACAUAGAUAAAUGCUAUUAAUAAAAAAAUUAAAAUUUUUUAGUUAUUUAACAAUUUAAUUAAAAAUUUUAAAAAUUAAUGUAAUUUAAUUCAAAAUCUCAAAAUUUAUUAUUCUUUAUUUUUAUUUAGCGUAGUGUAAAGGACAACUUUAACUUAUUUAUAUUUGCUAUCAGUUUUAACAAAAAGUACAACAGAUAUUUUUUUUUUUUUUUAAAAUAGGGGGUUGGGAGAGUCGAACCUUAGACCUCUCAAGUUACAAGGAUGCACUUUCCACCAGGCUAAAUCUCGGAGUGCAGUACAACAGAUAUUAUAUUUAUUGAUUUUAUUUUUUAAAUAUUAUAUUAAAUAUCCAUCCUAAUAAAUUUUAUUAUUGUCAUUAUAAAAAAUUAUGACAAUAUAAUAAAAAUUAGAAAUUAUAAAUUUACUGUUUAUAAUUAUGCUAUUAAUCUUUUAUUACUUAAAAGUAUAAGUACAAAUAUUAUAUUAAGAGAAUUAAAAUAUAAAUGAAUUAAGAGAAGCCUUGCACCUACGCUGUUUCUCCCUUGAACAUCGCCGCCUCUCGCCAAUCCUCUUGACUCGGCGAGCCACAACUCCAAGACUUCCGCUGCCUCUCCCGUGAAACGAUAACUAAAAAAUGAAAAGAAGUCGUAUUAUAUUUUUUCAUAAAUCAAACAGACAGUAAAGUACAACUUUAAAAAUUUAAUAGUAAAAGAAAAUAAAUUUAAAAUUUUUGAGAUGAAUUAUAUUAAUUUUUAAAAUUUUGGAUUGAAUUGCAAAAUAAGUAUAAAUUUUGAUUUUUUUAAUUAAUAGUAUUUAUUUACAUGACAUAUGAGUAUUAUAAAAUAAUUUAUAUUAUAUUGCUAAGUCAGUAAAAUAUUUUAUUAAAAGGGUAAAAUAGUAAUUAUUCGAAUACAUUAAUUUUAUCAUUACAAUAAUCAAAUAGUAAUUAUCCGAAUAUAUCAAUUUUAUCAUUACAAUAAUCCCCACAUAUAAUACAUAAAUUUCAUAGAUCUACAAUAGCUAACUGAGUUAUUAUCUUUACUAGUGCUCAACUAGUCACUCUCUUAAAUAGAUUUAAAAAUAAAAUGGCUUAUGUGAAAAGAAAUUAUCAAUACUUUUGAUAUGAUACAUUUCAAAAUAAAUACAUGAAAAUAAAUUAUAACAAAUUAUCUCGGAUUUUAAUUUUUUAAUAAUUUAUCCUAAUUUUUAUUAAUAAUGUUUCUUGAAAAUCUCAAUUAUUAAAAAAUUACAAUUUUGACCCUAAAAAUUUUAGUCCCUUGAUUUGUUAUUUUAUCUAUCCAAAUAAAGGGAAAAAAAAAACUAGUGAUUUAUAUUUAUAGUCAAGAUCAUUUUUCGGCAUAAAGGUCUAAUAUCAUCAAUGUUAGUGACGUUGAUAAUUAUUUUUAAAACUAUAUAAUAUUUUUUUAAUAAUUAAUAAUUAAUCAUUUCAUUCAUUUAUUUAUUUUGAAAUUUAAGUACUACACUAAAAUAGCAUAUGUAAGAAUAAUUAUCGAUCAGGAUACAUAUCAUUUGGGAAUUUAAAUUAAAAAAGAAAUACUUAUUGAAUUUAAGAUAUACCAUUUGCAUAAAUUGUUCUGUAAUUUUGUGAUAAGCAAUAUUAUAACAGCUCAAUUUAAAUAAUUUUUAAAUUUAAUUUUUAUUUAAUUUAAAAUAAUUAAUUUAAAUUAUUUAAUAAUUUAGCAUUAAUUUUAUAUAAAUUUCAGUCCUCUUUUACUGUCUCCAUGUGGGAUUUCCACAAAUAUAAAAUUGCCUUCUAGUAAAUUCUGAUGAUGACUUGGAAUCCAAGUUAUAUGUACAGUCAGCCUCUCUCUCUCUCUAGAAGCGGAGAUACUAUUAUAUUCUCCAUGUAAUUAUUUGUUGGCAUUCUUAUCUUCUCAUUAACUUUGCUAUAUGCAUAUAAUAAACUACUUUCCUUCUGUUUCUCAUCAUAUUUUGUCCUUUUCUUUUUACUAAUAUAUUUUAAUAUUCAUUUCAUUUAAUAAUUAUUCAUCAUAUUUAAUUUUCAUUUCAAAAAAAAAAAAUCAAAAGUUUUAAUAUACAUAACACCCAUUUCUUCCUAGUUUUUAUCGAUUUGAAUAAAUUGAAUUAAAAAGAAAAAUCAAUUUUUUUUUUCUUUUCUCCAUUUCUCACAAUCCAAACAAAAUAAUUUAUUAGCCAAAAAAAAAAAAGGGAAAAUGAUCAAGAGAAGGAAAAACUUCAAACACAUACAUAAAUAUAUCAUACCAAAAUUUGUAUUGGACUACACAGAAUCAAACAUAUAAUCUGUUUUUCUAUCUAUAUUCUCUAAUUGCAGCUGCCCUUCGGCUAAAAUAAGGAAGGACAACAUUUAGCAGUAGCAGUAGAAUUAGUAAUAACAGUACCUUUCUCAACAUUUUCCUGCGAACCCAUUUCAGUGCUGGGGGAGACAGAGACCUUUUUGCAGUUUUUGGAGAACCAUUUCAAUUGCAUGUACUUAGCUUUUCUCCAAGGAGGAAUAUGGAGACCCUUUUCUUUAAGUGAUUCUUUUGCAGCUGAACAUAUCAGAGAGACUAUCUUGUUAAGCCUCUCUUCAGUUGCAACAAAGAUUGAAGGAAGAGUGGCGAUGAGCUCUUUAUAUGUCUGUGUAGGCCUUGCCACCUCAAACUGAGUCCUGAACUCCAUGUCUGUUAUGAUUCUUGUCGGCUUCCCACUGUUAUUAAUGUUCAUCAUCACCUCUAUGUACUCGUAAUCUCCUACGUAUUGGAAUACUAAGAUCCAAAACAAGAGACAAAAAUCAAAGUAAAUCAAUCAUGCAUAUGUAGCCAUGCAAGAGAGAGGGGAGAGAGAGAGACCUUUAGAGCGAGCAGAAGUGGAAACCCAAGAAGUUUUACAAAGAGAAGCUUUAUAGCCAUCAAUUUGCAGUCUCAUCACCACCCAUUUCUUCAGACUACUGGGUUCUCCCAUGUUUCUGAUAUACAUCAAAACUCUUUCCAGAACCUGUUUCUCAAAAUCAGUAGCCUCCAAAAGAAUGCCCUAAUCAAGAAUUAAUCAGACCAAGAAUAUAUAUGAACAAGUAGAAAUGAAAGAGAAUCAUAGGAUUCGAAGAAAUUAAUAAUUAAUACCUGCAAAAUGGAUUGAUGUCUAGAAGAAAUGAUGAUGGAAGGAAUAUUAUUGGGUGUGUUUGAUUCUGACUCAUAGUAGUCUCUAACCAUUUGAUCAAAGAGCUCUUCUUCUCCAAUGCUACCCAUAUUUAGAUUUUUGUUUUCUUGGAUAAUUUCUUACAAGAAAUGGAAAAGUAGAGUUAAAGAGAAGACCUGGUUAAAGUCAACAAGCUUGUGAGGCACACAGAAGUUGUUUGGCAUUAUGGAGUUACAAUGUUGUAUUAUUUUCAUUAAAGCAACUACCGGUGAUGUCAUAAGGAAAAGAAAGGCAGAUGUUGUCAUUUUAUCAUCAUCAUCAUCAAUGCUCUUCCAUAUCUGUGUGUAGAGAGAGACAGAGAGAUUGGAGGUUCACAUAGGAUAUUUUACAUGGGCAUGGCCUUGGAAUUAUAGAUUUAUAUCAUUAUCAUCAUUCCCUUUCCUGUAUUUUCCUUCUGAAUCCUGAUUUGUCUAGUUUGGGCCAGUAGCAUGAAAUUUAGUUUGAUAAAAUUAAGAAAAAAUUAUUAUUUAGUUUUUUAUAUUAUGCAACGCUCGUUAAUUAAUUUUUAAUUUUAAAAAAUAUUUUAAAAUAUUUUAAAUAUUUUUAAAAUUUUAUUAAUUAAUAUCUCCAUUAAUUUUAUCCGUUAAAUAUUAUAAAAAAAAAUUAGUGAAUAAUAGUCAAUAGCUAGUGUUGUUUUGAAUCCUCCUUCUAGAGUCAACAAUGGUGGAUUUGGCUAUUCCUUUCAUUGACUCUAAUCGAACCUUUAUUGUUUUCCUCUCCUUUCCAAUCCUGUUCUUUGGUCCCCCUUUGGCUUGGGGUUCGAUUUUAUGGGACUUGUGCUUGCAUGUGUCUCUUCUCUUGUUUGGGCCAUUAAAACAAAGUGGCUUCUAGAUGUUGUUUUGCAACAGUUUUUCGGCUGGCAGGAGAAGGACAACAGUAGAGGAGGAUUUCUAGAGUGUCUGUCAUGGUUCUUACUUGGAUUUGGUUUGAUAAAUUAUUGGCCUAGAGUUGAAAUUAAAUCCCAUCUUUUUUUUUAUAGAUUUGGGCUGAUCGGAUUUCAACACAGAUCUAUUAGUGAGUAGUCACUCAAUAUUCAAUUCUAUGAAUAUAAUUUAUCUUUCAUCUCUAAAUCCUUCUAUGCCUUUAAUUAAAAGUUAAUAAUCACUGCUUGAUGUUUGUUUUUAACUUUUAAUACUUAAUAUUUAUAAAAUUAUAAUUAUUUAAUUUAUAUAUUUUAAAAUUUUAUUAUAUUUUAUAAAGACUAAUGAGUUUAUAAUUAAAUAUUAAUCAAACUUGAUGCGUUUCGGUACAAAAAAUUAUGACCACAUAUUUUUUCUCUCUCUAGGAUUUUUUUAGAGAGAGUUUUCCUCUGCCUUUUGUUGGCUUGCUCGGGCAGAGGAAGCCUUCUUAGCCGCCCUCCCUAAAUAUGGAUGCGAUUCCUCCCCAUUCUGGGUGGAUUGUGGAUAGAUUUUUUUUUUUUCCUCUUUUCUUUCUUCUAUUUGUUUUUAUUUAUUGUUUAGUUUUUCAUUGCAAACUGUGGAAUUUAUAGAGUAGACAUGCAUGUUACUUAUUUUACCUUUUAGAUCUAAUUUUUUUAUUUGAUCAAUCAUAUAAGUCCAUCGUAUGAGUCUCUCAAUGUUUGAUUUUAUAAAAGAACCUGCAAAAUAAAGAAAGAUGGUCAAAGGUCUAUCGGGAAUGCUCUAAGUGGAGACCUUUUCAAGUCAGGUUCAUGACUAGUGUAAUAUGGAUAGGUCAGAGCACAUCCCAAAAUCGAUCUGUUAGAGUUAUUGUUGGAUCCCACUCCAUGGCUCUAUUAAGGUUCGCAAUGCUCUUCUUAUUGUUGCUACCAUGAUUGAAUCAAAAUGUUUUGCUUCUUUUUUUGUGUGUAUAUCUCUUGGAGAUGUUUUUGAUAGUUCUUCAUUAUCCACUCAGUCUCUCAGUACGAAAGUGCUCUACUUGCCGUCCGCGUUUUCUCUUGGCUCAAAUCUGCCUAGCCUAUACUAUGUGUUUAUCGCCUUUCCUCUAAUGUGUUGCCUUCUUAGUGAUUUUGUUAAAAAAAACACCUUUGUUUGGUGGUUCACGAAGCUUCAUUGGUGUCUUUUCUCCAAGAAGAUAGUUUCCCGGAUUGCUUUGCUUAGUACUGAAUGGAUCCUACUCGGUUUUUAUUUGCUAAGGUUUCUUAAUGUAUAAAUUAGGCUACUACUAAUGUUUUUUUUCUUUUAAGCUAGUUGAAGCUAGAUUUAGCUGUAAUGUAUUUAAAAAUGUUAUUUUUUUAAAAUUUUGACAUUCUAGUGAGUUAUUUAUCUUUGAUAUUAAAAAAAAGAGUAAAUAUUAGAAAUUAAAGUAUUUAUUUUGUACGAAAUAAUCUACACUAUAUAGAUAUGAUCUGAAUCAAUUUAAAUUCUAAUUAAUUCAAAAAUAUAUAUUUAUUAUUAAUUCAAAUUUUCAAUUGAUAUUCUUCUUUUAUAUAAAAAAUGUAAAUGACAAAAAAAAAAUACACAUGCAAAAAGAUUAAUUACAUUUAAAUUAUUGUGAUAUCUUCUUUAGGAAAUGGGCCAAAGAGAAGGGUUCUUGUGUUGGUGUGUGUGAUGGGUUCUCGCCCAGAGACUAUGGGCCGGUUAACCACCUUAUAAGAAAACGGCAGGAGUGAGGACUUGGGAAUAAUAUAAAAAGAAAAUCAAGGGUGAAAAUGUCAGAAAAAUUCCGAGGAAGAAGGCUAGGGUUUUCACUGGUCAUCACUAUAAAAUGACAGCAGCAGAGCUUCUUCUCCUGCGUUGCUCUCUGGCAGUCUCCUCUGCUUUCCCAUUUUCUCUUAUUUUUCUAUUUUGUUCCCCUUUUGAUUUGUUGAAAUUAUAGGAUCUUGUAUUCUGUAGAAGUAAGAUAAUAUUGAAUUGAUGGGCAGUGAUGAGGAUUUUGAGAAAGUCAUGCACCACUCUGAUUUCUCGUGCUGAUAAAUCUCUCAUACCCAUAUACUUCUGAGCCUAAUCUUUCUUCUUACUCAUCUGUGUUUUGAAAAGAUGGAACCAAGUGAUGGGGUCUUUCGACCUGAACCAUGAUGCGGACCGUACAGCAAUUUUUCUAUUGCUUCUGGGGAUAACUUCGGUUUCUGAUGGUUCCUCCUCCUUUCUUCAAUUCAUUCUGCUUUCAAUUCUUCAUUUUUUAUGCCUUCAGUUUUUUAGUUUUCUUCUAUUUUUUCUUAAUUAAUUGAAGCUUUUUCGUCAGAAUGAAUUUGUUAACAUGAAAUUGAUUAUCCUCUGAUUUAAUCUCGUCGAACCCUUUGGAGAUAGAUUUAGGCCCAACAAAUUUUCACUCAAACCCUCACAAAUCAUCAAUUGAAAUUAAGUAUUUUCAAAGGCCUGAAUGAGUGAAGAAUAAUAAAUUAAACAGAGAACACCAAAACACUUUCAUUCCAGACUUGCAUGACUCUUUCAUCUAGGAUAUGGAGUCUGGGACAUGAGCUUCAUGAGUCUUUUGUCUGAUUCCCCAUUGGUGAGAUGCAGAGUUUGAGUCAGAGGAAGGUGAAGAUGACAGGCGUAAGGUGAGGGUCAGAGUUUGAGGUACUAGAAGAGGAAGAAGUGAACAGGGGCGUCAUGGGUUAUUCGAGAAAUGAAUUGAAAUCAAACUGAACGAUAUAAUUUCAAAUUGUGAAAACGAAUUAAAUUAAAUUAAAUUAAAUUAAAUUAAUUUUUCGAUUAAAAUCGAAUUUAAAUUUACAGUCAAAUUUAUUUGAUAAAAUUAUAAUUUUAUAAUGAAUGAAGUAUUAUUUAUUUAAAUAACUCAAAUACCAUUUAAUUUAUUUUAGUUUGAUUUUCUUUUAAUGUAAAAAAUAAAUAAUGUAUAUUGUUUUGCUUUAUAUUAGUUUUAUUCAAACAUUAAUGAUAUUAAAUAUAAUGUUUUAUUUUUAUAUAUAUUACUAAAAUAUAUACGUAAAUUUACACUUGUUAAUCACAUUUUCUAUAAAAAUUAUUUAUAUAUUAAAAUGAAAUAUAAGAAUUCAUUGUAAGAUAAUUUAAAGUUGCUUGUAAACCGGUGAUAAUUAAACAGGCCUUAGUGAAAACAUUAUAUAUUAUUUUACUUUAUAUAUUUUAAUUAAUAAUUUAUAUAACAUAUAGUUAUAAUGUAUAUUUUAACGUUUUAAUUUAUAAAACAAUAUUUAAAUUUAUCUAUUUAAAAUAUAAUAUAAUAAUAAAUUUAUAGAUUGUAUUACAAAAAAUAUAUUAUAUUAAAUUAAUUAUUUAAAUAAAUAAAAUUCAAAGCUAUGUAUCACUAUGUCAAAAUCUAAGUGAAUGUCAUCGAUAGAUUUAAUUUAAAAUUAAAUUAAAUAAAUUAAAAUUUUAAAUUUAUAAAAAUUAAAUUAAAUUUAUUUUAAAUAAAAAUAAAUUUAUAUUUAACUAAUUUAAUUCAAUUCAAUCCUAUCAACUUUUAAUGAGUUUUUAAAAUUUUACACUUUAUUUUUAUUAUUAUAAAAUUUAAUUAAAAUAUUUUAAUUUUAAUUAUAAUUUAAUAUCCAUAUAUUAUAAAAAAAAAUACUAUUAUCAUUAAUUAAUAUUAAAUUAAAAUUAAAUCAAAUCAAAAUAACUAAAAUUUUUAAAAAUAAAAAAAAUUAAACCAAAAAUUAAAAUUUUAAAUUAAUUCGGUUAAUGGAUUUUUUCGAUUUGGACCUGUGCAGGAUGUUUAAGUGGGCGGAAGCAAUUUCCCGCAUCUCUGCAAUGUUUGCCUUAAUUUUCACAUCAAAUUUCCCAGGAAACGUAAAGAAAAUCUCUUCUAUAAUCUGCUGCCCAUUAUUAGCAAGAAAAAUGUAUACUUUUAAUAUGCACCAAAAAGGGAGGGGGAGGGGGAUAUCAUCAAGUAUUUAAGUCUAGGCUCUGUAAGAUUUCUAGGUGGUUUGACACUUAAAUUAUACUAUGAAAUAUGGAUCAAGACAUGAAAUUUGUUUAACACUAAUUAGCCCAAGGAAGGGAACCUGGGUAAGGAUCUGCUCCACAAUAUCUGAAUAAACCUUCAAUUUCUGGGCAACCAUUGGGAUAUGGGAUUGAUCGAUGAAAUGGAUCACGCCCAAUUUUUUUACGCCAAAGUGUACCUCUACAUCCAUAUGGGUCUUCUUCAAAUUGAGUCCUCACCAAGGCCUCACCUUUCAAAGCUGCUUCUUUGGAAGUUGAUGUUGCCGGGGUGCCAUGGUAAAAGAAUCUCAAAUCUGGAAAGCGAAUUGCAGUGCGAUGCAAGAGUGAAAAUCUGUCUUUCUUGAAGUCAUAACUAACAACCUGCUCAAAAAGCAAUGAGAUUAGAACUAAAAUUGACAUAACACAACAAGCAAGCAGCUGCAGGCAUUUUUUAUCUUCUUUUGUCGAUACUACAUUGACGAUGGCGCUGGAAAUACUAGACUCGGGUAUAAAAGACUACUUGCACUGUUUUUCAUGUUGCAUAGAAAUAGGAUCCAUAAUGAAGAAGUGUUGUAUGACAAUAGACUGGAGGUUUCAACUCAUUAAUUGCUUAUCUUGUAAAGCACAUUAGGUGUUUCUAUUGUUACCACUAAUAACUCCGAAAAGAAGGGGAAAUAAAAUCUUUGAACACAAUGGACUUACCGUUAUGUUUUCUGGAUAUGUGCCAGUGAGCUCCCGGAACCGGCACACACUAAAGAGAAGAUUCUCAAAGCUAUCUCUUGCAUGUUCUUCUGUCAAUGCCCUCCAUCUCACGCUUUCCUCAUUGCCUGACAAUUACACAUUUUGACAAAAAGAAUCAAGACUGAGCAGUUUAAAGCCUUCUUACAGACAAACACCAUGUAUCAUUCAUAAUAUUAAGAGCUGUGAAUUCCAGGGAAGAUAAAAUCGCUCAUGCAAAUAGGCAAACUUUGAUUAAAAGCCUGCCAUAUAUUCCCAUUAGAGGUACAAACAUGAAAUACUCGGGGAAUAAAAAAGAUAACAACAAUUGCAACAAUGUAAAAUAGUAUGGUCCAAGUACCUGGUCAAUUUUCUUAAGAGUAGUGUAUUAACUUAUAAGAUGAUGAUAAGAUAUUUAAGCUUUCAAAUAUUCCAAACAAUUCUAAAUAGAUUUAUAUUUUGCAAUUUAUCAUAAUUGUUGCACAAUUAGAAGUCUUGUGAAAUUCUCAGUAACUAAGGUUAUCUGAUAAUGAACUGCAAAGACUUUCAUAAGCUACAAUAUUAAUAUGUGGGUGAAUGUCAGUUGAAAUAAUGAAAUAUUUCUACAACCUCUUAAAUAAGUUUGAUCAUAUUAGAUAUGUCAUGGCUAGUGAGUAGUGACAGUUCCAAAUUUUGGUGUAUAAAAUUGAGUUAGCAGAUGCAAAAUAUGAUUAUGAAGCGGAAAAUUCCAUUUCGCCAAAGGAGUACGAGAUCAUUGUUCCCUAAGAUUCACUUCAAACAAUGAUAUCUUUAUGCUAAUAUGCAUACUCAAUAAAACAAUAUUAUAUUUUUCUGAUAAGCAUUGCUGAUUAAAUCAUAUAACAGUUCUCUGGUUGUCAACUAUGACUCCCGGGUUAAUGAAGCAUCACCUAUUGGGGGCUGCCUUUCGUUUUAUUAUAUCUUCUCUAAAUUCCUAGUGCCAUAUCUCUUUCAGUGAUAGUCUAAUUGGAAACCUGAUUUACUGCCAAGAAAAAUAAAUUGCAUAAUUCAACUUGGAGAUUGGUUUCUUAAAUUCCUUUAUGAGAUUCUAAUGCAUCACUGGCCUCUGGCCAGUAAAUUAAACUAAGAAAUGAAAAGUGAUAUUGAUUGUCACCAAUGAAGAGAUUCACAGUUGCAAGACAAUAAAAGUAAAAACUGUCUUUAGGUAUAAUGGGCAAAAAAACUAAUCCCACAAAAAAGGAUCAAUAAAUAUGAUUUAAACAUAUAUAUCUUUAAAGAAUCAAAAGUGGAUCAGUAGUCCCAAGUCUAUAAACCAUUUAUACACAAAUAAGACAUGAUAAAAACAACAAAAUAUGUAAGAGAAGCACAAAACUCACCAAACCAUCCUUUUGAUUCAGCAACAGUCCAAUAACUCUGUGCUUCACUUCGUGGACCAGCAUCUUUUCGAGUCUCACCACCACUAAACAAAAGCAAAGCCCCAUCAUCCCUUGCUGCAAUUUCAAUUCCCUCUUGUAUAUGAGUCACAAAAGUAGCAGCCUGACCAGGAUUUCUCUGAUAAGGCUCCAAAAACCAAGAAUCCUCCUUCUCAACUUUCUCACAAUUACUACUGGUAUACACCGAAUGCCCAGCAACCAUUACAAGAUUUUUAAGCUUAGCGAAAGGAUAAGCAUUGGAACUCAUAACCGUUUUCGAGUAACUAUUCAUUGUUCGAUACCGGUUCUCAUAUAGAGAAAAACCAACAAGAAUAGUGAUCCCCAAAGACAAGGAAAUGAUGAAUACAAGAAGUGGGUGCAGCUUGUAAUAAUAGUGAAGCCGGUUAGCCAUAGAUUUGAUCAUUUUUAAAGGGUGAAGUGAGGAGUUUUUUGACUUUCUGAGUCUUUUGAUGGUUCCUGAUUCUAAAUCAAAUUCCCCUCUUGGAUAUGCAUUGAAAGACUUGGGGCUAUUUGCAUAUGUGUUCAUUAUAAAGAAAAUCCAGCUUAUGGGCUGUGAUAUUUAAGGAAAUCAAGCAUACCCAGAUAAGAAUUUGCACGGAGAAAGCCAAUGCAAUGGGAUCAGGAACAUAACCAGAUGCAGAGAAUAGAGUUAGCGAAAUUUUAUCAAUUUAUGCACAAACAUGUGAGAUUUUGAAGAUAUUAUGCAGUGGGAUCAGAUAAUUAUGAUUCAAUCGCUUAAACAAGCACUUUUGAGAGAAAAAAGUGCUAAUCUCGAUUGAUCAACGGAUACAUUUUUAUAGCUUGGUAAAGGGAAAUCAUACAAACCCAGAAGCACAUUCGAUCAGAGAAGUCAAUGGUGAAGGAAAAUCAGAACGGAAUUGGAAAAAAAAAAAACACGAAUAGAAAGCAAUAGAGGAACUCACCAAAAGAAGUUUGAUUACAUAGUUGGAUGUUUAAUGCAGAGAGUUCUUGCUCUUGGACACAAUCAGAUCAUGAAAUCAUCACAAGAGACAGAUUCUUAGAAAUUUAUUAUGGUCGCGUUUAGGAAAUGAGAGCAAAUAUGUUGUUAUGUUUUUCUUAGGCUUUGAGCGAUUGUGGAGAGGAGAAGAGAAGAGAGACGACAGAAGUUUUCCGUCGCCUGAGGUGGGAGACUGGCUAUCUCAAAUUGCUUCGUUGAAGGGGCCCAUGAAAAGCCCAAAUAAGCCCGCAGUCCUGCAAUCGUAAUACUAAAACUUUCAUGUUUGGGCUAUAAUUAUAUAACACGGGGAUGCCAAAUGCACAUGGACCACAAUUUUAGCUCCUGAAUAAUUUUUUUUUUAAUUAUAUUUUUCAUAAAAUAAAGGUUAGAUCGACAGGUGUUUGACUUUACCUCCUUUCAAUUUUUCUCUCCUCGAAACCUACAGUUGGGUUGUUGUGGUUACUUUUCCUUGCAGGUUCUCGUACGGUUGGUGCUCAGAUUUGUAGUUGGCUCCCAUAUCUUCUACUAUUACUUGAAAACGAGAGUCGAGCUUUACCAUCGCUUGCCUACUGCCUCAGUUUGAUGGCUCUCUCAAGUUGAGACUAUGGUAAACUAGCCUGAUCUAAUUCCUUUUUCUCUGGAAGAGAGCAUCUUUGCUUAAUUCUCCGAGUCUUUCGAUACAUAAAUAUUGCUGCUGGAGGUUCUCAGUGGAUCCAGAGUUUCGCCGGAGUAACUCCUUUCUUGACUGUGUGCGACCUUGUGAUGCUGCGUUUGCAGUCUAUUGGGUUUCUCUCUUUUGGAUUAACUACCCGGUUCUCUAAGAUUGAUGAGAAUUGGACCAGGUUUUUGUUUUGGGUUUUGACUUUAGGAGUUUUAUAUUUUUAAACUUUUAGGCUCCGAUUGUAAUUAGGCCUUUAGGUAUUUGUACUCAAUUUUCGAUGAAUUUUAUCUUUUUGACAAAAAAAAACAAAUCCUUUAUUUCUUUAUUUUCAAGUAAAUAUCAUAACAUAAAAGUUAUUUUUAUUAUGUCCUGUCCUGGUUCGUGUGUUCGCUCCUCUGUCUAACUUCGAGGAAGAAAAAAAAAAGAAGUAAAUAUCAUUCUGGGAGAUAGUCCUAUGAAGAUGAGCUACAUGGCUUUGGAACCGAAAUCUAACCCAGGUUCACCUCAGGCCUGCAUCAGUCCGUUGGGAUGGUCGACAUUACACUCGUCAAGUGGGAGACAGACAAGCCAUGGUUACAGAACCAGAUCAAAAUGACUGUAUUUCUCGAAUAAAUGGAAAAUCUGAACAAAUUCUCCAUUUAGCUAUUCACAAAAUUCAUAUUUACAGUAAAAGAAACUGAAGUUGAAGAAACUAUAGGUUAUGUACAAAAGAAAAUAUUUACAUAUGUUGUGCUUUGAUUCUGUGUCAUCUCCUAGGUAGACUUCAACUUAUCCAACCUGUACAAUGUCUGCAACAUAUGAGAUAGAGACAGACAUAAGCAGACAAACCAAGAACCAGAAAUACAGUGACCCUGUAAUGUAACAUCAGAUUCAGAACUUGAACUCACCAGAGUAGGGUGAAUCUCUUCUAGAAUAGGAACUAACAGUGAAAUGAAGGUUUCCAUAUCCUCUAUAAGUGUUUCAGUGUUUUCAUCUUUUGGUUUAAGGAGAUUAAUGAAGGAUUUUGUAUCAGGAAUUAAUUUAAGAGCAACCUGCAAGAUCACUAUCUGUCAGUUCAAGAUUCAUGACAUAACUGAUGCAUUUGCUAAUUAAGCUCCUUUGUUCUUCAUGUUUAAUAUCUAUUAGCUGACAUUUUGCAUAAGUUCUUAAAGGAAGUGGGUGGUGUUACUCUAUAAGCAGCAGAUGAAAUCCAUCCAUGCCAUGGCUUCAGAGUGAUAUUGUAAGAAUCUUUCACAGCUUCCUCCAUUUCCUGAUCUGGAUUCUUUACUAAUCUUUGUAACAAAGCAACCGUAAAGUCCAAGGAUCUGGGAACCAAAUUAAUUUUCAUAUCACUUGAAUUAACAUUGAUCAGCUGCUGAAAUUUUCAUAAUCUGAUGAAGAUAGACUACUAAACAGGAGAGUAUAACAACCUAUAUUUGCUCUAGCAGAAACAGACAGAAUAUUAAUAUUGUAAGAACCGGUGAUUGAAAAAGCUGCUGAAAUUUGCAUAAUCUGAUGAAGAUAGACUACUAAACAGGAGAGUAUAACAACCUAUAUUUGCUCUAGCAGAAACAGACAGAAUAUUAAUAUUGUAAGAACCAGUGAUUGAAAAAGUCAAGCACGUUAAGUACAACAUUGUCGGUAAUUAAAUAAGCCAAAGGGAGAGGAUCAUGCAUGUGAUUUAAUGUAUUAAGUGAUUAUUUAAUUUGUAUUAAUGUUAAUGACACAUCAAACUAAGUUAAACCCAUGUUCUAAUAUGCUUACCUGGUGAGCCAAACGAAGGCUUUACUACAGCUGGUUCCUUUCCUUGCAUUGCCUUCAUCAGCUUCUUUCUUCAAAAUCUCAACCAAGUUGGAGUAUAGAGAAGGAUCAGAAUCACAUUGCAGCUCUAUUCUCUGUGGACAAGACAAAAGAAAAGGCUAAUGUUCUAUCAGCAAGAAAAUGACAAAUUUCAGACAUUGACAGAAAUGACCAGACUGAUAGAAACAAUGAAGACAAGAAAGCUAAAGUCGUUGAAAUGUCAUGGGGGGUGUUUUUGUCAAAAAUUUAAGGGAUAAAAUGAGAAGACAACUUUGGAUUCUAUUUUUCUUUUUCUUCUUAUUCUUACCUCAACAUUCUGGUUGAUGUCUUGUCUCAACACAGCCAUUGUUGGGCCUAUCUUAUCUUCAAAAGGAUAAGCACAAAACCCAGAAAGUCAAGCUGAUGUUCUUCUUAAAGUGAAGAAGAAACAAAAAUAAAAGGGAAGAACAAGAAUUAAAACUGACCAAGAACUUGAAUAACCAAAUUGCAGACAUAUAAAAAAGGCCUUGUGGGUAUAAGAGCAGCACCAUGAUUAUCACUGGUUUUGAGUUGGAUCAGCAUGGAAAGCUCUUCAAUGGCAGAUUGUAUCUCUGACUCCUUCUCCAUUUCUCGUUUUCUCUUCAUCUCCAAUUUCUUGCUUCUUCCUUUAUAUAACCAACUGGGUUUCUUUAAUAAGUUAGAGAUUAUAUUUGCAGCUCUGCUGAGAGAAAUUUAGCAGCCAGUGUACUAAGCAAAGAGAACCUGAUUGGGUAGCUUCUGUGGUUGAACUUCCAGUUUAAAUUUUUAUACAUUACAUAGGAUUUAUACAUAAAUUUUCUUUUAUAUAUAUUCAUAUAUCUUCUAUAAGAAAUUGAUGGUGACAUUAUAUUUGACCUUGGAGUUAUCUAACAGCUACCCAUCUAAUUGUUAAACAAAUGUAUGAUAUUUCAAGUGUACAUCUGAGGGAUCUCAGCCAUUGAACUUAGAUCAUUGCUUGGGUUUCUAUGAUGUAAACUGUGGGUCCUUGCAUUAUGAUAAUAGUAAUUAAUUUCCCUUGGGGAAUAUUUUCAUCAUGUUGGCCAUGGGGAUAAGGUUAAAGAAGCUUAUUUGAAUUAUGUAGCUGUUACUACUUUAACCAAGUCUAUAUAUUUUAUUUGCAACUUGUAAUCCUGAUUAAAUUCUUAAUCUCAUGUAUCAUUAAGCUUAAUAAUUUUGGAUUCUGUUCAAAUGUCAGAUACUAUAUAUAUACCUGAGAAAUUAAUUAACAGGAUUAGGGUUUGAAUUUCUAAGUUUAUAAAUGUUCAUAGACUAGCUUGUUGCCUAUUUUGGGCAUAAUCUUACUAGAUUUUGAUGCAUGUCAAUACUUUUUACUUUCAAAGGGGACCUCGUACUCUUUUAGAAUCAUACUAGAAAGCCGAUGUCUCACUUUUGUCGAAUCCAAUAUGGUUAAAGAAACUAUAUAUUUAUCUAGGGUAAACAUUCAGUCGAUUCGAUUUAAAAUUUAACCGAACCGAAUAAAUCAAAAAUUAAAAUUUUAGUAUUUAUAAAAAUUGAAUCGAAUCAAUUUUAGUCAGAAACUGAAUCGAACUGAAUCGAUUUGAUUCGAUUCAGUUUGAUCGGUUUAAAUUUUUAAUAAUUUUUUUAUUUUUUAUUUUAGUACUUUAAAAUUUAAUGAAAUAUUUUAACUUUAAUAUGAUAUAAUCCCACUAUAUUAUUGAAAAUAAUAUACUAUUAUCACUAAUCAGUUCAGUUCGAAUUUUUCAAUUUUUUCUGAUUAAAAUUGAACCGAACCGAAAUAAUUAAAAUUUUUAAAAUUAAAAAUUGAACUGAAAUAAAUAAAAAAUCAAACUAAAUUUUUAAAUUAAUUCAAUUCGAUCGAUUUUUUCGAUUUGAACCGAAUACUACUAACCCUAUAUUAUUUACCUACUUAUUGGUAAGGUAUAAGAUCUCCCAUCUAAAUUCCAGUUAGACCCGUUCGUAUUAAUGAAAAAAUAUUUUUUUAAAAAAAUUAUAUUAAAAUAAAUUUUUAAAAAAUAUAUUAAUUCGCCUUUUCAUUAAUUUUAAUUAUUAAAUAUUUUUAUAAUUUAAUUAUUUUAAUAUAAAAAAUACGCAUUAAUUAGUUUUUUAAUUUUAUAAAAAUAUCAAUUAAUUAAUAUAUUUUAAUUUUUUCUUAAACACUUGAGGAUUAAUAUGAAUAGAUUAAAAUAGAGAAGGGUGUUGGAUUAUGAAGUUAGAUAAUGUAAGAGAGCAAUUAUUAAUUAUUAGAAACUGAUGUUUUUAGUAGAUUAAAAAAAUAGAUUAUUUUUGUUAGUUAUGGAGUCAAAUAACUUGCUGGGAUGAAGCACACCACUCUUUGAUUAGUACUUAUAUAAGAUAUAUGUACUUAAAUUUGAGAUGUCUUCUUGAUUCUUAUAAUCUAAUUUAAAAUUUUUUUAUUUGAAUUAUAUUUAUGUUGCGAAUAUAAUAUUAAUUAAAAAUUUAGUGUUUUUAAAGUUUCCCUCUGUAAUCUUUUUGUAAUUCGAUACUCUCGCAUUUUUUCUCUUCCUUAAACUUAACUUCUUAUUUCCCCUUUCCCAUGGAAGACGAUUUGCGUCAAUUGACUAUCGAUAAAAAAGAAGAUGUUAUUAUCCCUAUUAAGAACUCCAGAGAUAUUCCAAUCGUCACUUAUGAUUUCUGUAUGGUAUAGAUAUUUUCCACAUACAAUCCAAUCAAUUUUCAGAAUAUGCAGACCUCUUUGGCAGAUUUAUGGCAUCCAAGAAACACUAAAUAUAACGUUAUUAUAGGUUUUCCUUCCUCUCAACAGGAUGCCUCUAACAACACCCCUGCGAAUGUUAAUUUGACAGGCAACAGUGAAGCGGCUCAUUCCGUCAAAGGUCGGGAUAGCCGAAAGCAAUGAUCGUUCGGUGUUGGAACUGCCGAGAACUCAGCAAUCCUCGGACAGUUAAUGCAUUGAAGGAUUUAGUUACUAAUUAUAUGUCGGACAUUUUAUUUUUUAUGGAAACAAAAACUUUUAGUUCUCAUAUGGAAUUUUUUCGUAAUUUUUUACAUUUUGAUUGUUGCUUUUCAGUCAAUAGACAAGUUAAUGCAUUAAAAGAUUUAGUUAUUAGUUACAAGUCGGAUAUUUUAUUUUUUAUGGAAAUAAAAACUUUUAGUUCUCGUAUGAAAUUUUUUUGUAAUUUUUUACAUUUUGAUGAUUGAUUCUCAAUCAAUAGACAAUGAUUGGGAGGAGACCUUUCAUUAAUGUAGAAGAGUUAUGUGUUUGUUUAUGUGGUCGGCUUUUCUUCAAAUUUUAUUGAUUCGGUUGUUUUGAAAGGUAAUAUUCAAUGGAGGUUUACUAGUUAUUAUGCAUUUUCGGAAUCGCAACGAUGAUAUCAGUCUUGAAAUCUUAUUCGAGUUUUAUCUCGUAGAAACUCUCUUCCGUGAUUUUGUUCGGGAGACUUUAAUAAUUUAUGCUUGAGAGAUGAGAAAGAAGGAGGAGUAUCUUUACCAAAUUAUCUUAUGCAGUGGUUUAGACAGACACUUAAAGAGUAUUUUUAUCAAAUUAUCUUAUGCAGGAGUUUGAUUUUGAAUGAUUGUAAAUAUUUAUUAGACUUUAGAACUGAUAUUUAUGUUAGAUGAAUUCGUCAUAAUACUACUCUAUUUGGGAUGAUAUUUCUCUUUUUUUAUAGAAUUUUAUUAAUACCAUGAGUAAUUUUAUUUAAAAAAAAAAAAUUAGUGUGUCUACAUAUUCUUUGAUUUUGUUUUUCGUUAAACAAGAAGUUGAUUUUCCUUUUUUUAUUUUUUGGUUUCUAGAAGCAAUUUUCUACUCUCUUUUUUUUUUUUUUUANNNNNNNNNNNNNNNNNNNNNNNNNNNNNNNNNNNNNNNNNNNNNNNNNNNNNNNNNNNNNNNNNNNNNNNNNNNNNNNNNNNNNNNNNNNNNNNNNNNNNNNNNNNNNNNNNNNNNNNNNNNNNNNNNNNNNNNNNNNNNNNNNNNNNNNNNNNNNNNNNNNNNNNNNNNNNNNNNNNNNNNNNNNNNNNNNNNNNNNNNNNNNNNNNNNNNNNNNNNNNNNNNNNNNNNNNNNNNNNNNNNNNNNNNNNNNNNNNNNNNNNNNNNNNNNNNNNNNNNNNNNNNNNNNNNNNNNNNNNNNNNNNNNNNNNNNNNNNNNNNNNNNNNNNNNNNNNNNNNNNNNNNNNNNNNNNNNNNNNNNNNNNNNNNNNNNNNNNNNNNNNNNNNNNNNNNNNNNNNNNNNNNNNNNNNNNNNNNNNNNNNNNNNNNNNNNNNNNNNNNNNNNNNNNNNNNNNNNNNNNNNNNNNNNNNNNNNNNNNNNNNNNNNNNNNNNNNNNNNNNNNNNNNNNNNNNNNNNNNNNNNNNNNNNNNNNNNNNNNNNNNNNNNNNNNNNNNNNNNNNNNNNNNNNNNNNNNNNNNNNNNNNNNNNNNNNNNNNNNNNNNNNNNNNNNNNNNNNNNNNNNNNNNNNNNNNNNNNNNNNNNNNNNNNNNNNNNNNNNNNNNNNNNNNNNNNNNNNNNNNNNNNNNNNNNNNNNNNNNNNNNNNNNNNNNNNNNNNNNNNNNNNNNNNNNNNNNNNNNNNNNNNNNNNNNNNNNNNNNNNNNNNNNNNNNNNNNNNNNNNNNNNNNNNNNNNNNNNNNNNNNNNNNNNNNNNNNNNNNNNNNNNNNNNNNNNNNNNNNNNNNNNNNNNNNNNNNNNNNNNNNNNNNNNNNNNNNNNNNNNNNNNNNNNNNNNNNNNNNNNNNNNNNNNNNNNNNNNNNNNNNNNNNNNNNNNNNNNNNNNNNNNNNNNNNNNNNNNNNNNNNNNNNNNNNNNNNNNNNNNNNNNNNNNNNNNNNNNNNNUUUUUUUUUUUUUUGAAAUGGCUCCACAGUUUACAUUAUAGCACAUAAAUAAAAAUAAUUUUAUAGAUAGUUAAUAAUUUUAUAAUUACUUCACGUAAAUAAAUUAUUUUAUUUUAUUUUAUUAAUUAUAAAUAUCAUGUCAUUUAUAUCGGGUGAUGCUAUAAAACACCAUAUAAUUUUCCAUAUUCUACCUUAUACACGUUUAGCAUGUCUUAUACAUUUAUUUCAAAUAAAAUAUAAAACUAAGUUAUUGAACUACAAUAUAAUAAUUUGUUUAUAAAAAGCACACGCUUUAUUAAUUUAGAUAUAUUGAAAAUUUAAGAAUAUAGAGAGUGAAAAAAAAAAUCAAUAAAAUAAAUACAGAUUAAUUAGCGUUUACGGUGAUAUUAUUUUUAAUUAUUGUUAAAUGUCAUAUUUUUUUGAGACCGAAACUUGGUUAAUUGCUUUAGUUAUAUUUUUUUCGCCCUUUAAGAUAGAGGAAUUAUUAAUUUUGGCUUUUAAUUGGUGCGAAUCAGUUUGAUUUUUCUCCCCUUCAUUGGAUGCGUCGGUGGUUUUUAUUUGGUUUUUUGUUACUUUUUGGAGUUGCUUUAUUUCUUUUUUUUGAGAAAAUUUUUCAUCCGUGUAAUAUCGACAUUUUAAAAUUGCAUUAUUAUGUCUGGUGAUCAUCGUUCCUAUAAGCGAGAAUAGCAUCGUCAGUUCUAUCGUCAUCUCCUUGGUAUUUGCUCUUCAUAAUAGUUUUGAAUAUGUUUCGUCAUGAAUUUUUUCUAUUUUAUUUUUGUUUAUACCAUAAUUUUUGUGAAUAUUUGAAAUUUUUUAUUUUUUCAAUUAUUUGUUUUUGUCACUAGAGCUGCCAAUGAUUUCUCCUGUUACUGGAUUUCAAACUGUGUAGACUGUGUGAUUAGGGGUGAGCAGUAUUCGGUUCAAAUAAAAAAAAUUGAUCGAACUGAAUCUAGUUCGAUUUUUUAUACAUUUCGAUUCGGUUCGGUUCGAUUUUUAAUUUUAAAAAUUUUAGUUAUUUCAGUUCGGUUCGGUUUUGAUCAGAAAAAAAUCGAAAAAAUCAAACCGAAUCGAUUAGUGAUAAUAAUAUGUUUUUUUAAUAAUAUAGAUAAAUUAAAUCAUAUAAAAAUUAAAAUAUUUUAAUUAAAUUUUAAAAUAUUAAAAAUAAAGUGUAAAAAAUAAAAAAAUUAUUAAAAAUCGAAAUCGAUCAAACCGAAUCGAACCGAAUCAGACCGGUUCGUUUCGAUUCGGUUCUGAUAAAAAUCGGUUCGAUUCGAUUUUCAUAAACACUAAAAUUUUAGUUUUUGGUUUAUUCGGUUCGGUUCAAUNNNNNNNNNNNNNNNNNNNNNNNNNNNNNNNNNNNNNNNNNNNNNNNNNNNNNNNNNNNNNNNNNNNNNNNNNNNNNNNNNNNNNNNNNNNNNNNNNNNNNNNNNNNNNNNNNNNNNNNNNNNNNNNNNNNNNNNNNNNNNNNNNNNNNNNNNNNNNNNNNNNNNNNNNNNNNNNNNNNNNNNNNNNNNNNNNNNNNNNNNNNNNNNNNNNNNNNNNNNNNNNNNNNNNNNNNNNNNNNNNNNNNNNNNNNNNNNNNNNNNNNNNNNNNNNNNNNNNNNNNNNNNNNNNNNNNNNNNNNNNNNNNNNNNNNNNNNNNNNNNNNNNNNNNNNNNNNNNNNNNNNNNNNNNNNNNNNNNNNNNNNNNNNNNNNNNNNNNNNNNNNNNNNNNNNNNNNNNNNNNNNNNNNNNNNNNNNNNNNNNNNNNNNNNNNNNNNNNNNNNNNNNNNNNNNNNNNNNNNNNNNNNNNNNNNNNNNNNNNNNNNNNNNNNNNNNNNNNNNNNNNNNNNNNNNNNNNNNNNNNNNNNNNNNNNNNNNNNNNNNNNNNNNNNNNNNNNNNNNNNNNNNNNNNNNNNNNNNNNNNNNNNNNNNNNNNNNNNNNNNNNNNNNNNNNNNNNNNNNNNNNNNNNNNNNNNNNNNNNNNNNNNNNNNNNNNNNNNNNNNNNNNNNNNNNNNNNNNNNNNNNNNNNNNNNNNNNNNNNNNNNNNNNNNNNNNNNNNNNNNNNNNNNNNNNNNNNNNNNNNNNNNNNNNNNNNNNNNNNNNNNNNNNNNNNNNNNNNNNNNNNNNNNNNNNNNNNNNNNNNNNNNNNNNNNNNNNNNNNNNNNNNNNNNNNNNNNNNNNNNNNNNNNNNNNNNNNNNNNNNNNNNNNNNNNNNNNNNNNNNNNNNNNNNNNNNNNNNNNNNNNNNNNNNNNNNNNNNNNNNNNNNNNNNNNNNNNNNNNNNNNNNNNNNNNNNNNNNNNNNNNNNNNNNNNNNNNNNNNNNNNNNNNNNNNNNNNNNNNNUGAAGAGACACAAUCUGAAUACUGUUUGUCCAAACAAACUGAUCAAACAGAGCCUGUUGAUAAUUUGGAUAUCAUUGAUUGUUUGAACAAAGAUAUUUUUGAUAUAAAAGAUGAUAUGCUAAACAAUGAUCCUUGCAGGGAAGAGACUCAGAAAGAGCGAGAAUUGAAAGAAACUGAUUGUUGCAUCCAUCAGGUGAACUACAGCCAAGCACAGACUAAAGAGAGCUUGGUCACACCACUUCUGGAAGGACUUGUGCAAACUGAAGCCAUGACUUUUCGGCCGCCGAACUCCACCAUCUUUCGGCCGUCAGACCCUGCACCUCAGCUCCCAUCGCAAACUGAAACCAUCCUUCGGCCGCCAAACUCAGCCAUCUUUCGGUCGUCGAAUCCGACUACUCUUCAGCUCCCCUUUCCAUCAGAUCUUACGCAAAAGGAGCAAUCUGAAAAUAAUUCAGCCAUAGAUCCAAUGCAAACAGCCCAUGCUCACAAGGAACAAAUGGUGUUCCAAGAGCCCAAACCAAAGGAGCAUGCAGAUCAAUGCCUUUCCAAACCUCCGGAUAAGGUAGAGUUUGUUUUGCCAGAUUUUAGUAGCAAAUUGCAGCUACACAUGGAGAAACAUGAAUUGGAGUUCAUAAUGUUGCCUUAUCAUCUCAAGAAUGCAAAAGCUAGAAACACACCUCAUCUGAAAGAGGAAAAGCUAAUCAUGUUACUUCAUGAGUACAUGGAGAAAAUAGGAUGGGCUAUAACCAAAUCAAAAGGAGUGCUACACUUUUGCUCAAUACAGUUGGGACGCUUUUUCCUUCCCCAAUUACUUGAGCCUUGAUCAAGAGGAUCGCACCAUGCACACCACACCCAGGGGAGUACUCAGUUUCCUUUGUUCUUUUAUGUUUCUUAUACAUUGAGGACGAUGCAUGAUUUAAGUGUGGGGGUGCAUAUAUCUGAAUUUUUACUUUUAAGUUUAUUUUUGCUUUAAUCUUUAGUUUGCUUGCAUUAGGCAAAAUUUUUUCAUUUUUAUUAUUUAUGCUUUCAAUAAAACACACACAACCACAACCUUCUUCUUCUUUUUAUUUUGCUCUACUCAAACUUAUGAACUACGUUGGAUGAGUUUUUCUUUCCAUGACCCCAUUGAUGUGAUAACUCUUUAAACUUAUGUUGAAUCAAUUGCAGUGAGUUGUAUUCAUGUUUGAGAAUUGCCUUUUGAAUUGAAUCUUUGAGCUUGCCAUGGUGAAAAAAUAUAUUGAUGACCCUCAAUCGAUUGAGAAUAAAUUAACGUUGUGUGAAUGAAUUUAAUGUGACUUGAUUUAGCAAUUGGUGUUGAUUUGCCCAAAUCAUUGAGAGAAAGAAAAUUCAGCAAAGGCAAAGACCUCAAAAGCACAAAUUCAAAAACUGUUCCAAUGAUCAAAAGACUAUGAAUAAGGCUAGUAGUGUAAUACCCGGCUAGAGUCCGGCAUUGGAAUUCGAAUUUUCGGUGAAAUUCAGGAUGUUGAAAUUCUCUAAAAGGGACGAAUAAUGUUUUUCUAAAUUAUUUUAGAAUGUUUUAAUGUUUUAAAGUUGUAAUGAAAUGAGUUUUUGAGAGAAAAGCACCAAGGAAGAAAAGCUAGGUUCGGCCGCCAAAGGUGAGGUUCGGCCGCCAAACAUGCAUGGCUUUUGGUUUCACGUUAGGCCACCGAAAGUGGUCUGGCCAGCCACCUAUAAAAGGCCCUCAGUCGGUUGAAAGGAUAAGGAUUGCCCUUUUCUUUCACUUUUCAGAGGUGAGACCAUGUCUUUCUUGGAGUUUCUUCAUGUUUUCAUCAAAUCUUGCAAAGGUUUGUUUGGUUUUAAUGUGAUUUUGAAGGUUUUGAGCUAUAAACUUAAGUUUUGAAGUUUGGAGAGUUUGAAGGAGAGUUGCUCCAUAUCUCCACGUUGAGAUCGUUCAUCUUCUUGUUUUCAAGAGGUAAGUGAAGAUCCUGAGCUCCUUUUCAUGAUUUAUGGAUGUUUUAUGGAGUUUGUGGGUAGAGUUGCAUGGUUAGGGUAAAUAGUGUGUUUUUGGUGUUUUGGUGAUCAAAGCAUGUAUAUGUGUUAUUCUAUGUUGUUUGUUGGGGUUUUCAGGACGUUGUUGACCCCUUUGAGCAUAUACUUGAGUAUAUGCAUGUUGAGGAGUUAUGUUGUUUGUGUUUGGCACAGUUUGGUGUGGUUUGGCGUGAGGCAGAGAAAGGUUCUGCCUUGCUGAUGAACCCAGCUUCGGCCGCCGAAUGUGCUGAGGAGGUGGCUUCGGCUGCUUAAGCUUGCCUAUGCUUGCCCCCGAAAGGUUGGACUUUCGGCUCUGGAGGGGGGUUUCGGCCGCCGAAGGUGCCGCCGAAGGUUAUAGACUUUCGUCCCUGGAAUGCCUUUCAGCUCCCGAACCUUGCCCCCGAAAGGGUUCGGCUGCCGAAAGUAUAGAUUCGGCCGCCGAAGGUGCAUGAGUUUCGGCUCUGGAGAGGACUUUCGGCCGCCGAACCUGCCGCCGAAAGUACCCUGUCCGGCCUUCCUUUGCAUGCUUUACAUGUUUGUUUUAGUUUAUUUAAGGGGAUUCUUGGGGAGUGUUUCAGAGUUGUUUUUGAGCUAGUUUGGUCCCUCAUGUGAGUCCAUCUGUGUAGGCACAAACCAGAGGAACUAAAGAGAGCAGCAGUGAGUACUUCUUCAGAGUUUGUAGAGUAAGUCUAGAGAUAGCCAGAGGUGAGUGAAACUAAACUUAAAUCGUUUACUUGAAAAAUUUAAUGCUUUUAGCAUAUUUCAUGCACCAUGAUUAUGCAAAAGGUUGAUUGCAUUAGAAUCCACAAAAAUGUUGCGUUACAUACUUAUUUGUUCUUGUGGGUAAAUGCUGAAUGAUCCAAUUAGUCUUUGAGGAAAGACCAGGUGCCCAGUCUAUGCCCUGGCAGGUAUAGGAAAGACCAGGUGCCCAGUCUACGCCCUGGCACAAUGGUAAGUAUAGGUGUUAUAUACACGUAUAGAUAUACAUGACAGGAAGACCAGGUGCCCAUUCUAUGCCCUGGCACGGACAGGAUACUGGGACUAUUUGGUGACAGGUUUACCCUUGAUGUGAAUUGUCUGUGAUAUGACGCAUUCCAUAAGAUCAUGUUUUAAUGACCUGUUUUAUCGUUCUACUCACUGGGCUAUAGAGCUCAUCCCACUCCCUUAACCCCAGUCUUGCAGGAUCAGUGUACAGGGGAAGGUCAACAGACUACAAGAAGAGAGAAGAGUUCUGUAAUAGUAUAGUGUGGACAUGUACUAUGAUAUUAGAGUUGUGCUUGACUUAGUUGUAUUGUAAAUCUUUUAUGUACUUGAUCUGUUUCUAUACAUGUUUUAUGAGCAUGUGAAAAACUAGGCUUAACAGGUGUGAGUUUAACCCAUCUGGAGCAAGCUCUAGUCAGGGGUUUUGUUAUAUAGAGAUCGUGCAUGCACAGGUUGAGCCUUGGUUUAGAGAAAAGUUUGUAUUUUCACAGAAAAUGUAUGAUCAUGUAUGAGAUUUACAGGUACACAGGGAGUAUAGCAGGCUUGCUACGGGUUUCGGCGACCUUAAGUCGACCUGAAUCCUAGCGCCGGUGGCGGUCCGAUUUUCGGGCGUUACAAGUAGCCACUUGGAUAGGUGACCAACUGAAAAAUAUAAACCAUGACAUCAAAAAUAGGUUGGUGACCUUUCCAAGCAAAAUCUAAAGUGCAAAAGCCUGAAUAAAGUACUUCAAGGUAAGGGCAAGUCAAUCCAAAAGCUAGAAAAAGUCUUAACAAAUUAAUGUGCAUGUCUCUCUUGAGGAAAACAAAUCCUAGCCAUGGUAAGCAAAGGGAAACAAGGAAAGGGGGUAAGUAAUCUUCAUGCAUAUAUUCUUCACUGCAAUGCUUCAAAAUAAGUGUCUUGAGUAUGAGCUUAAGUGGAAAUAAGGAUCUAGAGUAAGAAAGCUUAUUUGACUAUGUUUGUUUGCUUGAGGACAAGCAAAAGCUUAAGUGUGGGGGUAUUUGAUAGAGCAUAUUUUAGUCCAUAUUUUCAUGAUCUUAUUGAUGUUUAUUUGUACCUAUUCUACCUAAUUUUGUGAUUUUAAUCAUGUUCUGCAAAUAUUAGGUGUGAAGAAACAAAUUGGAGAAAAUGCUCUUAAAAAGGCCAAAAAGUACCCAAAUUCAGCAACCUUCGGAAGCACUUUCGGAAGCCAAAAACCAGUCACCUUCGGCGGCACUUUCGGCGGCCGAAAGUGGACUCCAGAGACGAAAGUCGACCACCUUCGGCGGCAUCUUCGGCCUCCGAACCUUGUGUCCAGAGCCGAAAGUCCAGCCUCCGAAACUCAUUUUAGGCAGCCGAAAAUGCCUCUCAAUGCACACUUUCCUUAUUCAAGAAGCCAUAUCCCAAGUUGCCAUAUUUGAGGAGCCAAACAAGGGAAGUAUUUUGAGAGCCAAAUCUUCAAGAUUCACAUUCAAAUAUUGGAUUUCAAGAUCAAGCUAUUUAAGGAAGCCAAAUCCAAAGAUCACAUGUUUCCCACUUAGUAUCAUGCACAUUCAAAAUUCAAAAGGAGGCUCCACCUUCCUUAUUAGUGCAUGGGCAGCCUCUUAACUCUUAAGGAAACAUCUUGAAGACCUUNNNNNNNNNNNNNNNNNNNNNNNNNNNNNNNNNNNNNNNNNNNNNNNNNNNNNNNNNNNNNNNNNNNNNNNNNNNNNNNNNNNNNNNNNNNNNNNNNNNNNNNNNNNNNNNNNNNNNNNNNNNNNNNNNNNNNNNNNNNNNNNNNNNNNNNNNNNNNNNNNNNNNNNNNNNNNNNNNNNNNNNNNNNNNNNNNNNNNNNNNNNNNNNNNNNNNNNNNNNNNNNNNNNNNNNNNNNNNNNNNNNNNNNNNNNNNNNNNNNNNNNNNNNNNNNNNNNNNNNNNNNNNNNNNNNNNNNNNNNNNNNNNNNNNNNNNNNNNNNNNNNNNNNNNNNNNNNNNNNNNNNNNNNNNNNNNNNNNNNNNNNNNNNNNNNNNNNNNNNNNNNNNNNNNNNNNNNNNNNNNNNNNNNNNNNNNNNNNNNNNNNNNNNNNNNNNNNNNNNNNNNNNNNNNNNNNNNNNNNNNNNNNNNNNNNNNNNNNNNNNNNNNNNNNNNNNNNNNNNNNNNNNNNNNNNNNNNNNNNNNNNNNNNNNNNNNNNNNNNNNNNNNNNNNNNNNNNNNNNNNNNNNNNNNNNNNNNNNNNNNNNNNNNNNNNNNNNNNNNGAAAUAUUCUGUCCAUAGAACACUUGGUGUAAAAACCAAAGAAUUGCAUGAUCUAGCACCAUCUUCAAGCGUUUGGAGUAGCUAGGGUUGGAUCUUUCUAGUUCUUUAUGCAAUUGAUAAUUGUUUUGAUGCCUUAGGCCCAAGGACGUUCCUUGGCAAUUUGUUGAUUAGUAAUUGAUUAGAGGGCGUUCCCUAAUUAAUUUGUUCAUAAGGAAAGACAUGGUGGUGUGAAGCGUUUUCCAUCCCCAUAACUAACCUAUUGAAUCAAUCAAGAUAACCUAAGUUUCAAUGAUCAACCCAAACAACCAAAGUGGAUCCAUAUCUUCAACUAGAAUUUUCUCAUAUUGAUUUCUUCUUAUUACUUGCUGUUUUAAUUGCUUUCAAUAGUUGUUAGUCAAAUCAUCUCAAAACCCCCCUUUUUACUUUCAUUGCACUUUACUUUGAUUCAGCUUUCAAUUACUUGCUUUCAAUUGUGUUUUCAAUUAGUUCUCUUGGUCUUGAUUGAGAAAAAAUAAAUAGGUAAUCAAUUCUCUAUGGAUUCGAUCCUUCACCACUAUCUGCAUUUGUAAAUUGUAGGUAACCAAGAAGGUUAUUUUUGACCGGCUUCGACAACCGCACUGUCAGUAUUUGAUAGAGCAUAUUUUAGUCCAUAUUAUCAUGAUCUUAUUGACGUUUAUUCACAUCUAUUCUACCUAAUUUUGUGGUUUUAAUCAUGUUUUGCAAAUAUUAGGUGUAAAGAGACAAUCAAGAGGAAAUGCUCUCAAAACUGCCAAAAGGUGCCAAAUCUGGAAAAGCCACCUUCGGAAGCACCUUCGGCGGCCGAAAGCCUCGUCCAGAGCCGAAAGUCCAGCCUCCGAAACUAAGCUUAGGCGACUGAAAGUCCCCCUGAACUGCCUCUUCCUUAUUCAAGAAGCCAAAUCUUAAAGAUCACAUGUUUCCCACUUCAUGCCAUGCACAUUCAAAAUUCAAAAGGAGGCUCCACCUUCCUCUUUAGUGCAUGGGUGGCAAGAAUGAUGUGAAGAAGACUUCUUGGACACACUUGGGCAGCAAUUAAAAGACCAAAAAGUCCUUGCAACUCCACACAUGCACCUAGAAGGCACAUAUAAGACCAAGGGUAUUUUGGGCAGCCCCUAAAAGUUGCAUGGACACCCAAGAAACCCUAGGCAGCCUCCCAAGACUUAUUUAAAGGCCUUAAGAAGAUAAGAAGAGGUAGAUUUGAACAAUUGAAGAUCCCCACCUCUCCAAGGGUUCGGCCGCCGAACUCCUCCACCCUGUGCCACCGCCGGUUCUUCACCAUCUCUUUUCUUCUUCUAUUUUCUGUUUUGGUUCAGCCAUGAGUGGCUGAAACCCUUAAUUCUAGUUGAAGUUUGGUUGAAACUAAGGUUGUUUAAAGGGUUGUGAGAUCUGAACAUAAAGUGUUUGCUUUUGGUUUAUUCAAUAUUUAUGCAAUUGUGUGCUUAAAUCUAAGAUUGCUUUGUUGUUUUGAUCAAAUUCGCCACUUGAUUCUUGAUUGCAAAGUUAAUUGAUUGUUAGUUGGGAUAUUUGUUAGUCCGUAAUUGCUAGAAAUAUUCUAACCUAAGAACACUUGGUGUAAAAACUAAGGAAUUGUAUGAUCUAGCAUCAUCUUCAUGCGUUUGGAGUAGCUAGGAUUAGGUCUCUCUCAUUCUUUAUGCAAUUGACAAUUGUUUUGAUGCCUAAGGCCCAAGGACGUUCGUUGGCAAUUUGUUAAUUAGUAAUUGAUUAGAGGAUGUUCCCUAAUUGAUUUAAUCAUAAGGAGAGACAUGGUGGUGAGAAGCGUUUUCCACCUCCAUAACUAAUCUAUUGAAUCAAUUAAGAAAACAUAAGUUUCAAUGAUCAACCCUGUAACAGCCCGGAAACCAGUACCCCUCUGUAACGGCCCAAACUGCUCGGCGCUAGGAUCCAGAUCGGCUUAAGGCCGCCGGGACCCGUAGCAAGCCUAACCUGAACUCCAAGUAUCUGACAAAUCCCAUACAUGAUCCGAUAUAAACAUACAACUGGAAAACUUUUCUUUACAACCUACCAGACUUAACCUUAAAACACUCAGAUAUACCAAUCUGAAAUAGCCCCGGGGGCUUACACCAGCAAUUCUGCCUGUGUUAGGGUUAAGGGAAUCAAACCCUUUCUUCCCUUACGGUCUAGUCUUGGAUCAAGGGAUUCAAACCCUUUCUUCCCUCACAGUUGUCUUUCACUGGAGUUUUAUAAACACAUCAUCUGUUAAGCCUGAUUUGACUCAAUUUUGAAGAGAAAAGACUAUGGGGACAAUUGCCAUGUUCGGCCGCCGAAGUGAAGUUCGGCUGCCAAAAGUGCCUUAGGUUUGGCUUCCGAAACUCCAAGUUCGGCCGCCGAACGUUGCAUGGUUUUGCAUGCAGGUUUGGUCACCGAAGCUGAAGCGGUCAGCCACCUAUAAAGCACCCUCAGUCGGUGAAAUGGAUAAGUUUUGCCUCCUUUUCACAAACUGAGGUGAGGCCACGUUCUCCAUGAGUCAUCUUCAUGGUUUUAUCAAAGCUUGCAAAGUUUUAAAGAGUGUUGUUGUUGUUUUGAAGGUUUUGAGCUAAAAACCUAAGAGUUGAAGUUUGGAGAAGUUGAGGACGAGUUGGUCCAUAUCUCCACGUUUGGAUCGUUCAUCUUCUUGUGAUCAAGAGGUAAGUGAAGAUCUUGAGUUUCUUUUGAGGAUUUAUAGAGGUUUUGAUGGAGGUUAUUGGUAGGGUUGCAUGAGUAGGGUAAAAGAAUGUUUUUGAGUAAAAACCUUAAAAUACUUAAAAACAGGUUAGAAAACCUGUCUCUUACCCUUCUAGAAAUCUUACCCUUCUAGAAAACUCCGACAUCCUUGAAUUCCACCGGACGGUAGGAAUUCCGAUGUCUGAUCUAGCCGGAUAUUACAAACCCAAACAACCAAAGUGGAUCCAUAUCUUCAACUAGAUCUUUCUCAUAUUGAUCUCCUCUUUUAUUUUAAUUACUUGCUGUUUUAAUUGCUUUCAAUAGUUAUUAGUCAAAUCAAUCUCAAAACCCCCUUUUUACUUUAUUGCACUUUACUUUUGAUCUACUUGCUUUCAAUUGUGCUUUCAGUUGAUUCUAAUUGAUCUUGUUUGGGAAAAAUAGAUAAGUACUCAAUUCUCUGUGGAUUCGAUCCUUUACCACUAUCUGCAGUUGUAAGAUUGUUGAUAACCGUAGAGGUUAUUUUUUACCGGCUUCGACAACCGUGAGUCACCACUUUGAUCCAAUCAGCAGAAAGGGAAAGCUUCCAUACCAUAGUGGAUAUGGCCCGGAAGAUGGAGGCUAGUGCCAUCAUUCAGGGGACAGUUAAGCAGUCUGUGCCACAGUCUUCGGGUUUCAAAAUCCCGGGGACAAGUGAUGUUAAUCUCUCUCCUCUGAGUGAGGCUGUCACGAAGAAUAAAAAGGGAGACAGAGGCCUCUAAAGAUCAAAGAAGAACAAGUUCUGGAACCGGAUAAAGUCUGGUCUGGGAAUAGGUGAUGGUUCGAGCUCUGGUUUGGAUGGCUCUGGAUGUGCGAGGUGUGGUAGGCCGCACAAGGGAGUCUGUCGGAUUAGUACAAUAGCAUGUUUUAGGUGCGGACAGGAGGGACACAUGGCACGUGAGUGUCCCACUGCGACCUUGGUGACACAGUCCUAGCAGACAGCUUCAGGUAGAGUGGCUCAGCCAGGAGCUCCAGCCAUGGCGCAGGGGAGAGGCAGAGGGAGAGGGAUAGCUCCUUCUUCAGUAGGUUCCCGCGGAGAAGGUCCAUCAGCUCCAGCUCUGAUUUUCUCCAUGACCCAGCAGGAGGCUGACACAUCGGACAUGGUGAUGACAGGUAAUCUCACUUUUGUAUGUUCUGAUGUGUAUGCUGUAAUGAACCCUGAUGUUUCUCUUUCCUUGUUGCUUUGAGAGCCGUAGAGAGGUUGGGUUUGAUAGCUUAUGGGUUAGAGUGUCCUCUUUGGGUCAGUGGACCCAAGUGUGAUCCAUCAGUGGCAGAGUUGGUCUGCCGGUAUAGUGUAGAGUAUGUUGAGAGUAGAGGCCUUCCAGCCGACCUCAUAGUUCUAGAUUUGACUGAUUCUGAUGUCAUUGUAGGGAUGGAUUGGCUAUCUGCUCGUGGUGCUACCUUGGAUAGCAGAGACAAGGUAGUCAGGUUUAGAGUUCAGGAUGGAUCAGAGGUAGUCCUUAGAGGGGACAAUGUAGAGAUGCCUAGAGGUUUGAUAUCAGCCCUGCAGGCUCGUAGGUUGUUCAGGAGAGGUUGUCAGGGGUUUCUUGCUCGUGUUAGAGAGCAUAGUGGUCAGGUCAGGGGAACCAGCUUCAGUGCCCGCAGUCAGAGAGUUCUUAAAUGUUUUCCCAGACAAGCUGCUAGGUUUACCACCUGCUAGGGAGAUAGAGUUUGAAAUUAAAGUGAUGAUGGGAACCAGACCUGUCUCUACCCCUCCCUACAGGAUGGUACUUGCAGAGUUAAAGAAGUUGAAGAGUAGUUGCAAGAGUUGGUAGACAAGGGUUUCAUCCGACCGGGUACCUCACCUUGGGGUGCUCUAGAGUUGUUUAUGAGAAUAAAGGAUGAAUCCUUAAGACUUUGUAUCAACUACAAGUCGUUGAACAAAGUCACUACCAAGAGCAAGUAUCUGUUACCUAGGAUCGACGAUCUAUUUUAGACCAGCUAGCAGGAGCCGGUUGUUUCUCCAAGAUAGAUCUGAAAUCUGGGUAUCACCAGUUAAGAACCAAGGGAGAAGAUGUGCCAAGACGGUGUUCAAGACCAUAUGUGGGCACUAUGAGUUCCUAGUGAUGCCGUUCGGGCUAGCCAAUGCCCCUGCAGCAUUCAUGGACCUCAUGAGCAGAGUGUUAGUCAGUUUCUGGAUCACUUUGUUAUUGUCUUCAUUGACAAUAUCUUGGUGUAUUCCAGAAUAUAGAGGAGCAUGCCCAUUAUCUGAGGACAGUGUUGCAGACCUUGAGAGAACAUGGCUUGGAUGCCCAGUUCUCCAAAUGUGAGUUCCGGUUAAGGAGCAUAUCUUUCUUGGGUCAUGAUAUGUCAGAAAAAGGGUUUUGAGGUAGAUCCCAAGAAAGUUGAAGCUGUAGCUAACUAGCCCAGACCCACUACAGUAAUGUGGAUUAAGAGCUUUUUGGGUUGGGCAGGUUAACUACUGGAGGUUCAUCCAGAACUUUCCUAGAGUUGCGAUUCCUAUGACCGGAUUGACCAAAAGGAAUCAGAGGUUGGUUUGGUCAGGAAAGUGUGAAGAAAGCUUUGUAAAGCCAAAGAGAAGGUCAACGUCAGCACCGGUGUUAACUCUGCCCACCAAUAAUGAAGACUUUACAGUACUAUGUGAUGCGUCCCGGGUGAGACUAGAUUGUGUGUUGAUACAGUAUGAGAGGGUAAUUGCUUAUGUUUCUAAGUAGUUGAGGGAGCACGAGCUGAAUUACCCUACACAAGAUCUAGAAAUGGCAGCUGUGAUCCUUGCACUUAAGAUGUGGAGGCAUUACCUGUACAGGGUAGAUGUGAGAUCUUUUCAGAUCAUAAAAGUCCACAGUACAUCUUGAGUCAGGAAGAGUUGAACCUGAGGGAGGAAAAAUGGGUAGAAUUGCUUAGUGACUAUGAUUUCAAGCUUCAGUAUCUCCCAGGUGAGGCAAAUGUUAUGUUAGAUGCCCUCAGCCGGAAAUCGCUUGGCAGUUUAUCCCGUAUUACAGUAGAGACAAGGUCGAUGGUCAGAGAAACAAUCAGAACUGCUGUGAGUCAGCAGAAGUGUUAUGUAGAAGUCUGUAGGAGGUAUAUAGAGUUCCAGGAGGGAGAAAAGUUUUAUCUGAAUAUGCGGCAGAAGUUUGUUAAGGUUCAAGAGAAGGUUGAGGUAUUGCUGGAGGUGUCUCCUAAAGAGAGGGUGAUUCGUUAGAGGAAGAAGGGUAAAUUAGCUCUAAGAUACAUCGGACCCUUUGAAAUUCUGCAAAGGAUUGGGAAUGUAUCCUACAAGUUAGAUUUACCUACUUCAAUGGAGGAGAUCCAUCCGGUUUUCCAUGUUCGUAAGAUAUGUGAGUUCGUGUCGGAUUCGAGUGAGGUUCUCAAGAACCAGAGGUGGAGAUCGCAGGGGAUCUCACCUAUGUCAAACCACAAACAUAAGACCUCCACUAGGGUCCUCAUCAAACUCUAGCGUGGUAAACCACACAUGCCACAAGUUUAGUUCAAACACAACUCAACAUUUAAAACAUUACAUACAUCAUGUAAUAAACAGGGACUAACCAAGUCUUAGGGCCAAGCACAGUACUAAUCCAUAAACAUAACUCUACUUUACUUGCAUUACAUUACAUUAUCUUCCAAUCCAUUAUAUCAAUUUACAUUACAUGUCUACACUAACACUAAUCUAUUACAUAAGCAUAACCAUAACUCUUGAGACUUCCCGAUCGACCUCAUACCGGCAACACUGGGGUUAAGGGAGAGGGGUGAGCUAAAAAGCCCAGUGAGUAGAAACAAAGAAAACAGUUCAUUAAUUACAUGCUUUAAUGAAAUGCGCCACAACACAAACAAUUCACAUCACGGAUUGGACAUGACCUCCAAAGCUCCCUCUAUCAGUGCCUGGCCCCCAAAGGAGCUCACACAGGACUUUCAUUACAUAACAUGGUGCCCGGCCCUCAAAGGAGCUCCACAGGACUUCUCUUGUUGUGAUAGACUUAUGGGCCAUUAUGGUCGCCUUGGUCCAUCCACAUCAACAGUAAAUAAUGCAAUGCGUCACAUUCGUGUAACUAGUGCAAUUAACCUAUUACAUAUAAACAUGAUGCAUGAACAUGCUUUAGGCAUUUGAUUUCGUAAAAUAAAGAUUAAGUUUAGUUCUACUCACCUCUGGCAGACACUGAACUGACUCUGCAACUGCUAACACUGAUGGCCUCCUCGGUCCCUCGGGUCCGAUCCUACACAGGUUGACUCGAAUGAGGUGCCAAACACACUCCAAACAACUCAUAAACAACUCCCCAAAAACCCCCUAAAACAACCUCAAAACAUGCAUAGAAAAUAACCAUGAAAGGGCUGGACAGGGCACUUUCGGCGGCCGAAGGUCCCUUCCAGAGCCGAAAGCCAUGCAGGUUCGGCGGCAGGUUCGGCGGCCGAAGCCUCACUCCAGAUCCGAAAGUCAGGCACCUUCGGCGGCCGAAAGUCUGCUCCAGAUCCAAAACACAACUUUCCCCCUGCUCUGCUGAGGGCGUAGUCGUGGGGAGUCAGCAGAUGGGGAACAUCAAGGGACCCUGGAAGGUCUUUCGAUGUAAGCAGAGAAGGAAUGGCUCCAAGAAGGAUGUCAGCUAGUAUGAGGGAAGUAGAGAUGGAUGUGCAGAGAAGAGAUGUCAGUUUGGGAGUUAGAGUGCUAGAAGAAGGUAUGGGAGAUUCUCAGGAGGAUGCUCAGACUCAGGAUUCCAGAAUCUCAGGUUCAGGAGGAAUGGAUCCCUUCACUCUGAGUAUAGUUGCCACAAGAGAUAAAAGGUGGGGAAACACCACUAAGAAGUGGGGCAGAGGCCUCAGAAGGUCGAAGAAGAAGUUUUGGAAGAAUUUGAAGGCUAGUCUGGGUUUUGGUGGCUUAAGCUCUGGCUCAGGCAGUUCAAAAUGCUUGAGGUGCUGUAGGCUGCACAAGGGAGUCUGUCUGGCGGGGACAAUAGCAUGUUUCAGGUGCGGAUAGGAGGGGCACAUAGCACGUGAGUGUCCCACUGCGCCCUGGUUGGCUCAGUCCCAGCAAGCAGCUUCAAGUAGAGCGGCUCAGCCAGUAGCUCCAGCCAUGCUGCAGGUUAGUGGUCGAGGCAGAGGGAGAGGGUCAAUCCCUCAUUCCUCAGGUUCCCGUGGAGAAGGUCCGUCAGCUACAGCUCGGAUCUUCACCCAAGCUCAGCAGGAGGCAGACACAUCGAACACAGUGGUGCCAAGUACGCUCACUUUUGAAUGUUCUGAUGUGUAUGUUUUGUGAACUCUGGUGGUUCUCUUUCUUUAGUUGCUCUAAGAGCCGACGAGAGGUUGAGUGGAUAGCUUCUGGGCUAGAGUGUUCUCUUUAGGUUAGUGGACCCGAGUGUGAUCCAUCUGUGGCAGAGUCAGUCUACCGGUUCAGGUCUGUGACAGUUGAGGGUAGAUGCCUUCCACCCGACUUUGAGGUCCUAGACUUGACUGUUUGGACGUCAAUCGAGGGAUGGAUUGGGUUUUCUACUUGUAGUGCUAUCUUGGUCUGCAGAGACAAGGUAGUCAGGAUCAGAGAGCAGGAUGGGUCAGAGGUAGUCUUCUGAAGGAACAUAGUAGGGAUGCCUAGAGGUUUGAUGUCAGCCUGUCAGGUUCGUAGGGUACGUAGGAGGGGUUGUCAGAGGGUUUGAGUUCUUGUUGAGAGUUUAGUAGUCAGGUCGGGGAACCAGCCUCAGUGCCAGUCGUAGAGAGAGGUAGUAGUCAGAGUAGGGGCGAGACUUAGUAAACAAGGGGUUUUAUCCGACCUAGUACCUCACCCUAGAUUGUUCCAGUGUGAUGGUGGGAAAAGAAGGAUGAAUCCUUGAGACUUUGUAACAACUGUAAGCAGUUGACCAAGGUCACUACCAAGGGCAGGUAUUCCCGUGCAGGAUGGAUGAUCUAUUCGGACAGCUAGUAGAAGCUGAUUGUUUUCCAAGUUAGAUCUGAAAUCCGGGUACUACCUGUGAGAGUUAGAGUUAGUUUUGAGUUAGCAGUGAGAAGCAGCCAGUUAGUAAAGAUGAAGAGAAAAGAGUAAGGAUCAGAGUAGCGCUUUGGAAGCGUGUUGAGUUUCAGGAGGAGGUUGAGGUAUUGCUAAGGUGUUUCUUUUGGAAAAAGGUGUGUUUGGAAGACCCGGGAGUUCUUGCUCCAACAGUACCUGUGUCUCUCUUUAGAGAGAGGUUUUACGUUUUGCUUGCUUGUUUGCUUGCUUACUUAUGUAUGAUUGAUGUUAUGUUUUGAGAAUGCCUGUUUGUUUGUGGAACAUUCGGGGAUGAAUGUUCUUAAAGGGGGGAAGAAUGUAAUACCCGGCUAGAUUCCGGCAUCGGAAUCCCUACCUUCCGGCGGAAUCUCCGUUGGAAUCUAGAAUUCUGAAGAUGCCAAAGGCUUCUAGAGGGGUAAAAUGUGUUUUCUAAAAUGUUUUUACUGAUUUCAUAGUUUUUACUGAAACCUUCCCAUGUUCGGCGGCCGAACCUGGCCAGCCACUAUAAAAGGGUCUCUUAGCCGAAAACGGGCGAGCUUUUCUCCCCAUUUUUGGCCAAGGUGAGCUCUCUGCCGUCCCUCACCGAUCUUUGAGUUCUUCCUUCAAAUCUUUCACGAUUUUCACAAGUUUUCAUCUUGUUUUGAAGAUUUUCAAGUUUUGAGCAAGUUUUGAGCUUGGAAGACCCAAGGAAGUUGUAAAUCUCCCAUCUCCAAGAUUAGGUCGUCUCUCUCUCGAUCUUCAAGAGGUAAGAGCCGAUCUUAAGCUCAAUGCAUGUUUUAAGUAAGUUUUAUGAAGAUCUAUGGGGUAGAAUGCAUGUUUAGCUUAUGGUUAGGUUUAUGAGUUUAUGUUGUGUUUUUGAACAAUGUGGCUUACAAAUGCAUGUUUGAUGUGUUGUAGAUGGGGUUUUAGAUAGUUUGAAGCCCCUAGGAGCUUGUAUGCUUGUGUAUGUGUGUUGUAGAAUAGGUUUAUGCAUGAUUGGAUGGAAAAGGAGGCGUAUAUGCAUAGAAGAGCUGAGUUUCUGCCACUAAGGGAGAAACCAGGUUCGGCAGCCGAAGGAACUUUCGGCCGCCGAACAUGCUUGUGGAGGCAGCCUUCGGCUGCCGAAGCUUGCCCACGAAAGGAGACUUUCGUCUCUGUCUGGGAGUUUCGGCCGCCGAAAGUGCCGCCGAACAUGCAUGAGUUUCGCCUCUGUCUGGGAGUUUCGGUCGCCGAAGGUGCCGCCGAACCUGCCUGACUUUCGGCUCUGGAGGGACUUUCGGCCGCCGAACCUACCGCCGAAAGUGCCCUGUCCAACCCUCUUUUGCAUGUUUCUCUAUGGUUGUUUCAUGAUGUUCUAGGGGGUUUUUUGGGGAUGUUUUUAGAGAUAUGUUCUAGUUGUUUGGUCCCUCAUUUGAGUCCACCUGUGUAGGUUCGGACCCGAGGAACCGAGGACCUCAGCAGUGAAUCAGCUGCUUCAGUCAGUGUCAGAGCUAGCCAGAGGUGAGUAGAAUAACUCCUUAUGUUCCAAAUAAAUAAAUCAGUUUUGAGCAUGUUCAUGCAUCACGGAUGCCAUGUGAUAUUUUAGGUUGUUUGCAUUAGAAAUCACGAAUAUGUUGCAUUGCAUAAUAUGUUGUUGAUGUGGAUGAAUGUUGAAUGAUCCAUUAGCCCUCAUAUGUUAUGACAUGAUGAUAUGAUAUGGAAGUCCAGGUGUGGCCUGCACUACGCCCCUGGCACUAUGUAAGAGAAAGACCGGGUGUGGCCUGCAUUACGCCCCCGACACCAUUGGUUAUGUACGUUAUGUUAUGUAUAAGAGAAAGACCAGUGUGGCCUGCACUAUGCCCCUUGCAUGAUUGGAAUAUGUAGAGGCUAAAUGGUGACAAGUUCAUCCUUGAUAUGAUUAGUUGUGAUGUGAUGCAUUUCAUGAUAGCAUGUGUUUUAAAUGCUUUAUUAUUCUGCUCACUGGGCUCUAGUAGCUCACCCCUCUCCCAAAUUCCCCAGGUUUGCAGGUACAGGGUAGACCAGGAGGUCAGCAAGAGUAUUGAAGUCAUUUGUAUGUAAUAGAUAGAAUGUGGACAUGAUAAAAAUGUAAAGUUAUGAAUAGUUAUGUAAUGUAAUGAUAUUGAGGAUUAGAGGUUGUGCUUGACCUUUGUCUAAGGUAUCCCUUUUAAUGCAUGAUCCUAGAUCUUUUAUGAUGUUUAUGUAAACCAACUCAACACAUGUAGUAUUUGCCCAUUGGGGCAUUGAUGAGAUCCCACAGAGGGGUCGAUGUUUAUGAUUAUGUCUAUGUUCAAUGCAUGCACAGGUUGAGUUUGGUGUUUGAAUGAAAGAAAAGUUUUAAUUUUUAUGUAUGUUGUUAAUCAUGUAUGGGAUUAAAUAGGUUUACAGGUUGCAUGUCAGGCUUGCUACGGGUCCCGGCGGCCUUAAGCCGACCUGGAUCCUAGCGCCGGUAGCGGUCCGAUUUUCGGGUCGUUACAGCUUUGUUUGAAUGAACCAAGGUUCGGCUGCCGAACCAUAAGUUCGGCCGCCGAACAUGCAUGAGUUUAGGGGGCACGUUAGGCUGCCGAAGGUCUUUGACCAGGCCACCUAUAAAGAGCCCUCAGAUCGGAAAUGGGCGAGUUUUCUCCCCAUUCUCGAGCUCAGGUGAGUUUUUGUACUCCUUUGGUCGUUUUCAUGCUUUCUCUACCCAUCCCUCAAGUUUUUCAUGAUUUCUACCCUUAUUUUGAAGUUUUAAAGCGUAAAUAGGAGUUUUGGGAGCUUGGAGGCUUUUGGAGCUUGGAUCCUCCACACCUCCGAGUUAGGGAUCGCACCACCCCUCGAUCUUCAAUAGGUAAGUGUAGAUCCUUGUUUUUCUAGUGUUUUAAUGAAGUUUUAAGUAAGUUUAAUGAUGUUUUGAUGGUUGAGUAUGGGUAGAUAUGCAUGUUUAGGUCUAUGUGGAUUCUAUGUCCAAUGUAUGUUAUGUGAUGUUUGUGUUGAGGAGUUCAUGUUAGUUUGUGCUCCUUUAUGCAUGUGGGAGAGUGUAUGCAUGAUUGGGAGAGAGCAAGUGAAGUUUUGAGUAGUUUUGAUGGUUGUGGCUUAUGUGGGUCAUAAGCUAUUUAUGUAUGCUUUAUGAUGUUCUUUGUUGGAGUUUAAGCUUGUUUAAGCUCCUUUGUGCAUGGUUAAGGGUUUAUACAUGUUUUAGGAGGUUGGGUACUUAUUUUGGGGUGUUUGGAAGGUUUGGAAGGUUUGGGAGGCUUGUAUGCAUGAGAGGCUGAGUUCUGGAUGAACUCAGGUUCGGCCGCCGAAGGUAGUUUCGGCCGCCGAACCUACCUAUGGAUGCAUGGAUUGGCCGCCUAACCUUGCCCCCGAAAGUUUUGUUUCGGAUCUGGAGCAGACUUUCGGCCGCCGGGACCCGGUCCGAACCAUCACUGGCACCCCUCUGUCACAGUCCGAACCAUCACUGGCACUAGGAUCCAGAUCGGUUUAAGGCCGCCGGGACCCGUAGCAAGCCGACUAUACUCUCUGUGUACCUGAUAAAUCCCAUACAUGAUACAAAAAUACUCAAAAAUCCUGUAAAACUCUCCAGGCUUAACUACUGCUACUCAGAUAUGCCAAUCUGAAAUGGCCCUCAGGGCCUAUACCAGUGACUACUAUCUGCUGUGGGUCAAGGGAUUGAAACCCUUUUACUCUGCAACACAAACCACUGGUAUCUCAUCAAAGCCAUACAUUAAGCCCGAUACACACAUUUCUCAUCAAGAAACGUAAAACAGGAUUCAUGUACAAAGGGAUUAAUCAUACAUCACACGACAGUCAAGACACUAGGGAAAGUACAAGUCUAUCCAGUAUAUGACAGUACAUAUCUAUACAUUACAGUACAACUAAUCUUUUAAUUACAUCAUGUCCACUAUGCUAUUACAACAUACAUUCAUGCAUAACUUUCCUCUGUACUUUUGCUGACUUUGACUUCCCAUAGCUAUCUCAGGACCUGCAAAACUGGGGUUAAGGGAGUGGGAUGAGCUCUAGAGCCCAGUGAGGAGGAACAAUAAAACAGUUCAUUCAUUACAUGCUCUCAUGAAAUGCAUCACAUCACAAACAUAUCAUCUCAAGGAUGAAUUUGUCACCAAUAGCCCUCAACUACAUGUUAUAAUAAUACCAACUGUGCCAAGGAGACUAUGUCAUCACCUGGUCUACACUUAUCUCUCUGAUAUCAUAACAUGACCAACUGUGCCAAGGAGACGAGGUCUCACCUGGUCUACACUUACCUCUGAUCUGACAGCUAUCUCACUCAUAGUACCAGGAGCGACCUGGCCUAUCCAGGGGCGACCUGGUAUGGCUAUCUCAUGCCAUAACUCUGUAUCUGAUCUCUAUCAAGGGCUAAGGAUCAUCCAACAUUCAUCCACAGGAACAACAUCUUAUGCAAUGCAUCAUAUUCGUGAAUUCUAAUGCAACACACCCUAAUACAUAACAUGGCAGUUUAUGAUGCAUGAAUCAUGCUAGAACCGUGUCAUUUCUCAAGAUAAAAUAUUAAGUUUAGUUCCACUCACCUGUAGCCUCUGCUUGGCUAACUUUGGGCUACCUCUAACUCUGAAGCAGCUACUCCUGCUAAACACCUCGGUUCCUCGGGUCCAAUCCUAUAAUGGAGGACGCAAAUGAGGUACCAAACAAACUCUAUACUACUGAUAAAUAACUCCCCAAAACCCCUCUAGACCAUCUCAAAACAUGCAUGCAAAACAAGCAAAGGAAGGCUGGACAGGGCACCUUCGGCUGCACGUUCGGCUGCACCUUCGGCAGCCGAAUGUCUCCUCCAGAGACGAAAGUCUGGCAUGUUCGGCAGCUGAAUCCUCCUUCGGCUGCCGAACCUGAGUUCAUCCAGAACUCAGCCCCGACGGCAACCUCCCUCCGUCAACAUGCAUAACUCCUCCCUCAACUCACAUAUACUUAAGUAGAUGUUCAAAGGGGUCUAAAACUACCUAACACCCCCAACACAAACAACAAACAUACACAUAAUCAUGCUUACACCAUUAAAACAUCAAAAACUAAGCUUUAAACCCUAUAUAUGCAACUCUACCCUUACCCUCUUUAAAAGCUGUAUAAAUCAGUAAAAGAAGUUCAAAACCUUCCCUUACCUUCUAAAACUAGAAGAGGAAUAACCUGAAAGCUGAUCUAUGGACUAACACCUCUUCCCAAGCUCCAAACCACCAACCCUCUCCUUUUGACCCAAAACCUUCAAACUCACUUGAAAAACACCACACCUGUGCAUGGUGUGAUAACACCCUGCAGAUGAGUCAUGAGAGACGUGGCCUAAUCCUCUGUCUGUGAUGUCAAAUCAACACCUGGCCAUUUCACCAACAGAGGAGUGCACAAUAGCUGGCUGACCAACUCAACUUCGGCUGCCGAAUCGCAUGCAAAACCAUGCAACAUUCGGGGGCCGAACUUGAACUUCGGCGGCCGAAUAUUGGGCACUUUCGGCGGCCGAACUUUACCUUCGGCGGCCGAACAUGGCAGAAUGCCUCCUUGGCCUUUUCUCUUCAAAACUCAAUCCUUUUUCACUCUAAACCUUUAAAACACUUGAAAUCAUUUUAGAAAACUUUCUCUUACCCUUCCAGAGACCUCUGACAUCCUCGAAUUCCACCGGACGGUAGAAAUUCCGAUGUCUAAAUCUAGCCGGAUAUUACAAAGCCCAUCAUAACAAAGCUGAAUCUUCACAAAAGCCUUACUUGAUCUUCACUUUAGGCUUCCCUUUUUGUAGUUUUAGCCCAUAGGUUUGAUUAGGCUCCCUAAGCCUAUGAUUGUAAGUGUUGCACCAAAUCUGUUCCAUAUGAGUUGAAGCACGCCCCAAAUAUAUAUGGAUCAUAUGAAUAUGAUUUUGAACUCCUUUUAGUUCCAUUUGAAUGACAUAAGUUUGCUCCACACCAUUAUUAGAAAUUUGCCCUAUUGGAUCCGUAUCAUUCUCUCCUUCUUUACAAAAGAUUCGUCCUCGAAUCUUGCUGAUAUUUAUGUCAAAAAGGGAAGCUUUAGGAACCCAUGUAUCUUCAAAGACCUCCUUUUGAAUAGGUGGAAAUAGGAUAAAACUUUCGUCAUGAAUGUUUUCAUCAACAACCUGCACAUCAAGGACAAAUGAACUAGGCAUAAAAAUAUUAGUCAUAGAAAGAUCUUGUGGAUGUGACCCAUUCUCCUCUACAACUUCCAAAACAGUCUCAUUCACCUCCUCCACCUCAUCAAUCACGUGCUCCCCAUGUCCCUCAUAAUUCACAACCUCUUCUAUAAGUUCAUUGAUGGAAUUCUCAACAACAACUACAUUAGAUUCAUGCAUUACAACUUCCUCCUCAAUUUCAAUCUCUAUGAAAGUUGAGAUUGGAACUUAAGCCUCUUCUUUCUCCUUUUCUUUCUCCACCUUCCCUCCUUGAACUAGUUUUGAUUCUUUUCCAACCUCUUUACCCUCAAACUCACUCUUUUCUCUCAUCUUUUCCGCAGAAUUCAAGCUCUCACUCCCCUUUGUGGCCAAGGCCGAAGCCUCCCUCUCCCUCUCCAGCAUCUUUAUUUGAUCAACAUACACCUCUUGAGGUGAUAAAGGAGCAAGUAUAACCUUCUGUCCUUCGUGAGUGAAGGAGUACUUGUUAUUGAACCCAUCAUGUUGCACCUUUCUAUCAUGUUGCCACGGUCUACCCAACAACAUAUGGCUUGCCUGCAUAGGUACCACAUCACAUAAGAUCUCAUCCUUGUACCUACCAAUAGAAAAUGGUAUAACCACCUGGCGUGUAACCCUAGCCUCUCCACAAUCAUUCAACCAUUGCAAUCUAUAUGGCUUAGGGUGUUUAAUAGAAGCCAAGCUCAAUUUUUCCACCAUAUACACACUAGCCACAUUUGUGCAACUACCUCCAUCAAUAAUGAGAGUACGCACUUUUCCAUUAACCAAACACCUAGUGUGAAAUAUGUUUUCCCAUUGUUCUAGGCUUUCUUCCUUAACCUGUAUAUUCAGAGCACGCCUAGCAACAAGUAUCUCACAAUGUGCAGCAAGCAACACAUUAUUAACCAACACAUCCGAAUCAUCACAGUCAUUAUUGCAAUUAGGAGUUUUUUGAGGUAUUCUUGUAGAAGUGGAAGCUUGUGAGACAUUCAAACUCUUCAUAGUUUCAGUCAACCUCUCAAGAGUCUUAUUGAGCCUUUGUAACUCACCACUGACUGACUUCUUAAAGAGCUUAUAAUCGUUACCCACAUUCGAUUCACUUCCAUCAGUACGAUCCACCACAUUCUUAUCUUUACUCAUCCUACCUUAAAUCAACAAAGAACAAAAAGAACUAGCAAAUAUUGUGUUAAAAAAAAGUACUCAUGUAACAGCCCGGCCCUCUUACCGGCACUGUUACCGCUCACGGCCCAGGGCUAUCCCUCGCCUGGCCUCUUGCCACCUCGGGCUUUCCACUGGUGUCGUGAGCAGCUCUUAACAUCCCUUCACCCUCACGGGUUCCAAGCAGGAUUUGUCCCCUUGGGUUCUCGUCAAACGCAUCCUUCCCCAAGUGGAUUUGGCCCAAAUUUCCCUUAGGAAAUUAGGUCACCUCCCCCACUACUCGAACCCUUGACCUCCCACUUUAAGGGAAUAGUCUGGUGAGAGUGAGUACCAAUUGUUCCA